AGGAAAUGAAGAUUAAUAUUUUAUCAUAUGUAAAGGACCAAACCAUGGAAAGUUCAGCCAUUGAAGAACAUGGAAGCCACAGUUGUAAUAGCAGCAGCUAAUUAUCAGUUUGAUGUGAUCAUUUUUCAAACUUUUUGUAAUAAUUGAUGAAAACAGCCGCUACUGUAAAUUUCAGCAGAAACUCGAAUUAAUCAUGACAGGGAAACCAUUAAAUUUCUAUAAUAUAUUCAGAAAUGCCCUGAAAAUUCCUCCAAAGUUCCUGCACUGAAGGAUUAGGGAGCUCAGAUUCAUGAGAAAAUUCAAAAAAGUCGUUAGAGGCUUUAUAUCUGGGCAUCCAUAGUCUAAAUUACGGAAAGAUUUCCAGAAAAACAACCACAAAAUGUAAACUCUACCGACUCGGUUUUGUCGUCCCAGAACUGACAAGAAUUGGCAAUAAUGUUUUUGACCUUCUUCAUAGUCUUGGAGCAAAGAUGAAUCAAAGGCACACUGCGAUUGUUCAUAGAAACAGCUAAAGCAACCAUUAGUGUACAAGAAACGAAGAGAUUACAGCCUUCUUUCUUCAAACCCAACUUUAUAUCAAGGAGAAUAAAACUUUUGCAUUAGAUUUCUGAUAUUUCCUUUCAUAAUUUAUACACUUCCAUCAAUUAUCUGAAAUUAAAUGGACCUCGAGUGCCCUUUUGCAGCUAGUUUGGCAAUGUCCAUGAACCAAUUGUUGAAUGGCAGCUCCUGUAUCCCACCAAAAUCAAAUUCUCAUACUUUUGCACCGAGGAAGGACUACAAGAAUGAAAAGAAAGGUCAGCAAAGAAUGCUAUAGGCGAGGUCAUAGAUGCAUAUAUGUAUACAAUUUAUAUAGGUACACAUUAAUGUAAUAUCAUGUAUAUAAUCCAAUUAUAAUUUGUGACAUAAGAGAGAAUGAAAAAAUCAGGUUCAUGCUUGUGUAUUAUUUUCAAUUAUACUCUAAAGUUCUAACCUCUCCGCAUUUUUAUUGCCUUAAUUUAUUGAGUCCACAAGCAAGCCAAAAGAGACUAUCCAUGAUUUGUUUGUUCACAAACAUGGGAUUCUUGAUAAAUGUACUGCUAUUAGGGAAAAUAAUAUUUAAAAUACCGUAGAUUGGAAAAUAAUUCCAAUUCUACGGCACUUUUGAACACAUAAGCUAACACGUAGGAUGAGAAGUGAAAAACCCAUUAUCCCAUUUCCAUUUCCCUUCCCAUUUUUCUUCUCUGCAUCAAAACUCCUUUGCCCGAAAACCCAUUAUCCCGCACGUUGAUCAUGGGGUGGAGAUCCUUGCCUCAAUACCAAUAGGAAGGAAGUGAAGUGCAGAUCUGAGAGACCAUUGCCCCCGGUGUUUUCUGUAAGUUUUGUGGUUAUAUUUGGUGGUGUGGUUAUGUUUGGUCACUGAGAAAGUGUGGGAAAGUUGUAAAAAAAAAUAAAGUUUUCGUUUUUUUUUACAAUGAAGCUGAGUAGACUAAAAAUUAUGGAGAAAGUUUUAUUUUUUUUUGUGGUUCGGCUUGUUGUGAUUUUGUUUGGUUGCCAAAAAAGUGUGGGAAAGUUGAAAAAAAAUAAAUUUCCCAAUAUUUCCUACUAGUCCAGGCCGCGCACAGGAUACAAAAUCUAUCCAAUUUUUUUUUAUAAAAAAACGUAAGAUGCUAUUUGGUAAUCUGAUCAUGAUUUGAGGGGAAAGGUUGUGUUUUUCAGCCUGGCUCAAAAAUCAUGGAUUUAGGGUUUGUGAAAUUUAAAUCCAAUGGCACAAAAGCAAAGAGAUCCCUAGAACAAAUCCAGAAAGCAUGGAGCAAAAAAAAAGCUUUUUUUUUUUUUUUUUUUUGUUUUCCUUGGGGGUUUUACAUGGAUUUUCUCGGAAAUCAAAGGAGGAUGAAUUUUCUCGGAAAGCGAAUGGGGGAUGGAUUUUCUUGGGAAUCAAACGGGGGUUGCAAAAACUUGGGAAUCAUAUGGGGGUUGCAAAAAAUAAAAAAAUAAUAACCUGAUUAGAUUAGUACCUGCAAGAAUUGAAAUUCAAAUUCAAAUCCAAGGAGAUUUAAAUUCAAAUUUAAAUCCAAGGAGAUUCUUCACUAGGCAAAAUGGAUAUACUAACUUUUUAUUUGUUAAAAUUAAAAAUAAAUAAGAAAUAUUUUUAUUUGUUUCAUUGCUCUCAGCUAUUGCAAGAAGGUAUGUUGAUCUUUAGUAGGCAAUCCACAUACAUUAGUUGAAGAAAUAUUUUUAUUUCUAUACGAAUCCUUGGUUGUCGUGUUUAAUAAUUUAUUCAUUCUUGAUCUUUAGUAGGCAAUCCACAUACAUUAGUUGAAGGAAUAAAGUGGUGUGGUUAUUUAUGAUACGGUUUAGAUUUGGAUAAGAUUGAAUUUGUUUUCAUCAUGUUAAAUUGAUAUCCAUACGGAUAUAGUGAAAAUUAGACUAAACUCCACGGUAAACGGAAUCAGUUACAUGUUUGGAUAAAUUUAUCAUAUAUUAAUAAUAUUAAAAACACUAUGAAUAAAAUUAUGAUAUAUUUUUACUAAUUGAAAAUUUUUCAUUCAAUUAUAAAAUAGUUAUAAUUAAUUUGUUAUUUAAAGUGUUUUUUUAAUAUUGUAUUUAUAUCCUAACUUUUGAUAUAUAUAUUUUUAGUGCAUAUCAUAUAUCAUGGGACAAGUUUGUCCUAGUGGAGCUGGGAUGCAUGUUGAACCUUUUGUUGGGGGUUCGAAUCCCCCCAACAGUGGCAAGAAAAAGCUCAAUUUUGUAUGCAUAAAAACUAUAAAUUUUUACUAAUAUUAAUAAUAUGAAAAAUUUUCAUUCAAUUAUAAAAUAGUUAUAAUUAAUUUUUUAUUUAAAGUGUUUUUUUAAUAUUGUAUUUAUAUUCUAACUUUUGAUAUAUAUUUCUUUAGUGCAUAUUACAUGACAUGGGGCAAGUUUGCCCUAGUGGAGCUGGGGAUGCAUGUUGAACCUUUUGUUGGGGGUUCGAGAAUUGGGAUGCAAUAAAUAUCAUGACUGCUAAGCCUCUCACAUCACGUAACGGAUGUGGAACGAAUCUAAUGAGUUGUUUAAAGGAUUGAGAUUUGAGAGUAAAGAAGACUUGCAAUAUGUUGUAAAACGUUAUGCAAUAUGUCAGAAUCAACAUUUGGUGGUUUGUGAAUCAGAACCACAAUUGUGGGCAGUGAGAUGUAAGAAGUGGCAAGAAGGAUGUAAUUGGAGGCUUCAUGCAUGUCGUCGUAAAAGCCAUGGAAUGUUUGAGAUAACCAAGUACGCAGGUCCUCAUACUUGUGUUUAUCCUAAAUUAUCACAAGACCACUCUCAAUUGGACUCUACAUUGAUUGCAAGAAAGAUCCAAAAUAUAGUUCAGAGGGAUCACACUACCUCUAUUGCUACAUUACAUCAGAUAGUGAAGGAUAAAUUUGGAUAUGAUGUCCAUUAUAGGAGAAUUUGUGAAGCUAAGAGAAAAACAAUGCUUAGAGUUUUUGGUGAUUGGGAUGAAUCUUAUCAAGCAUUGCCGAAGUGGAUGAACAUCCUUCAGCCAACUAAUCCUGGAACAAAAAUUGUUUGGAAGCAAUACCUUUAGGAGGGAUUUCUAGGAACGUGCGGUUUAUGUGUGUUUUUUGGGCAUUUGGGGGAAGUGUUGAAGGGUUCAAGCAUUGCAGACCAAUUAUACAAAUUGAUGGUACAUUCCUAUAUGAAAAAUACAUGGGGAAGCUUUUAAUUGCUACUUCAAUUGAUGGAAAUGGUCAUGUAUUCCUCAUUGCGUUUACAAUUGUUGAGGAAGAAUCACAAGAUAGUUGGUCUUGGUUUCUUAUUGCAUUAAGGUGUCACGUCACUCAAAGAGAAGGGAUAUGCUUAAUUUUAGAUCGCCAUGCAGGAAUAAAUGCUGAUGUUAGAAAUCCAUCAGUUGGAUGGAGCCCCCCUCAUGCGCAACAUCGAUAUUGUCUUAGGCAUGUAGUAAGCAAUUUUAAUGACAAAUUUAAGAAUAAGGUCUUAAAAGAGUUGGCGUAUAGAGCUGGAUGUCAACAUCAACCGCGGAAGUAUGAGAGAUACAUGGAGGAGUUAAAACGAUUGGAUGAAAAAAGUGUGGCUUGGUUUUCAAAGUUAGACACUCAAAAAUGGACUCAAGCAUAUGAUCUAGGAUAUUGGUAUAGGUGGAUGACCACAAAUAUUGCUGAGUGCAUUAAUGGGGUGCUUAAGGAGCGCGAAUGUUACCUAUCACUGCACUUGUUCAAUUAACUUUUUAUCGAUGUGUGUCAUACUUUGAGACUCGUAGAGCAGAUAUACGUGCUAGAAUGGUAGUUGGAGAUGUGUACACAGCGUAUGUAAUUGAAAAAUUUAGAAGAGCUGAGGCCAAAGCUAGUGGACACACUGUCACCAUUUUCCAACGAAUUCAUGAAACAUUUGAAGUAAUUACUGCUCUCCAUGGGUUUCAUAUGGAUAAAGGACGUAACAAACAAGUUGUUAAGCUGAAUGAAGGUACAUGUAGUUGUAAUAAGUGGCAAUCAUUUGGCCUUCCAUGCUCACAUGUGCUACCUGUAUCUGCUCAUAUGAGGAUUGAUAGUUGGCAAUUAGUUGAAAAAUACUAUAGGCUGGAUGCCUAUGCCAAUUGUUACGCUCCUGAAUUUAAUCUCAUUCCUCAUUAAUCUUAUUGGCCAUAUCCUCAUUUUCCUAUUCUCCACCCUAACCCAACUUCGAUGAGGGAUAAGGGGUGUCCUAGAUCAUCAAGGACAAGGAAUGAAAUGGAUUUGAAGGAACCAAGCGUUAGGAUUCGAUGUGGCUUAUGCAAACUAGCGGGCCAUAAUCGUCGCAACUGUCCCACAAAAGAUGGAGAGCAAUCCUCCAACCCCCUUCCUCAUGACAAUUAAAGUAUGAAAGAUUAUCCAUUUUGAUAAUAUGAUAUUUUUAUGUAAUGUCUGUAAAUUUGUAAUCAUACUAAUGAUAACAAGAAUUAAUGGUUAUUUGGUAUAUGUAGGUAUCACCGCACGAUGGAGCCGGGACCCUUGGAUCCGACAGUUCUACAUGGACAGGCCACACACAGGUCAUCUAUAGCAUGGACAGGUGUUGACUCUAAGGAACUUCAUUGUAGAUGGCGUGAGGCGAUCUUCCAUCGCACCAGUGUACUCAAUGGGCGUAUUAUUCCAUUGUUGCAGCAGGCAGGCUUCUAUGGUGUUGCACGCUUAGGAUUCAUUUCCUUAGAUUGGCAUCUUAUUACUGCAUUUGUCGAGAGAUGGCAACCUGAGACUCAUACCUUCCACUUACCUUAGGGGGAGUGCACGAUUACACUACAGGAUAUUGCCAUGUUGAUUGGACUACCAGUAGAUGGAGAUGUAGUUACUGGUAGCACAUGUUUAGAUUGGAGGCGUGUAUGUUAUUCUCUAUUAGGACUCACUCCUGGAGAUAUAGACAUAGAUGGCCAGCGCCUUCAUCUUACAUGGUUGAGUCAGAGCUUUCCUACUUUGGCACCAAAUGCUGAUGAGAAGUCUAUUCAACGUUAUACUAGGGCUUAUAUCUUACAAUCUUACAGCUCAUUGGAGGUUUUCUAUUUUCAGGAAAGUCUAGCGAUAAGGCGCAUCUUAUGUUUUUACCCCUUCUAGAGGAUUUUGAGGUUGCUAGUAGGUAUAGUUGAGGUAGUGAAUGUUUAGCCUGGCUUUAUCGACAAUUGUGUCGAGCCUCUCAUAUUGAUACACAUGAUAUAUCUGGCCCACUGAUUUUGCUCCAGUUAUGGGUAUGGAAGAGGUUCCCAUUUAUUGCACCUCAUCGUUACGUAUAGCUCCACAUGAUGACCAACUGCCUCCAACCCCAUUGGCCAUUCGGUAUAUAUUAUAAAAUUAUGAUAAAUUUUACUAUUAUGAGGAUACAUGCAUAAACUUAAAUUCUAUCAUUUUUUAUUUAUUCAACUAUGCUUUGUUGUUUUAAUUUUAUAGGUGGAGAGAUGAGUUUCGGACUACUUCGAUUAGCAUGCACGUCUUAGCUCAGUAUAGGCACCAUCUUGAUCGACUUACAGCAGCUCAGGUGAUAAAAGUGUGAUUCAUUUCUUAUACUUGUUUCUCUAAACAAAUUCUAAACCACUGAUUAUGUCUAACGUUUCUUGGGUACAGAUUAUAUGGCAGCCUUAUGUUGAUGACAUGAAUGUUGGUCUUCUUGAUUAUUGUACUACUGGGAAAGAUAUAUGGUGCACUAUCUCACCUUUGAUAUGUUUCCACAUUAUUGAAUGACAUAGACCUGAUUGAGUAUUGCGGCAGUUUGGAUUUCGUCAAGGGAUUCCUCAACCAUGUGAUAAUGAGUCAAUCUUACACAAAUGUGAUUUGAGAAGUAGACAUGAUGUUGAUUGGACUACUCGACAUGAAGACUACAUUCGACGUUAGAGCUCUAGGCGUGAGCAUAUUGAUAGAGGCGAGAUGGUUAUAGGUUCAUUGGGGUAUCAUGAUCCAUACAUGGUGUGGUAUCGCUCCAUUACUAAUCGGUUUCUUACUCGGAUUGGGUCCUUCCAUGAGCUAUUGGUAAUUUUCAUGUUUUAUCUUUUUAUUAAAGUUUAUUUUAUUUUUAUAAGAAUUUAAUUUAACUCUUAUUUGACUUACAGACUACCAACAUACACCAGAUAUAUUAUAUUGCACCUCCAGAUGAUUUUCGCAUUCGCAGGCUAUGUAUUACUGUAUUAGAGGCCAUACAUGAGAUGGAUCGCUUAAAUGCUCCAUUUAGUGUUGAUGCUACUACACAACUCUAGCCUCCAUCAGGAGAUGUACGACCUACACGACGAGGGCCUCGUACGAGGGAGAUUAGGCAUAUACCAGUUGUUGCCCGAGUGCGACCAUCGACUGACAUUAGUCCACCACCUCAUCAGCAGCCGACAUCAUCCAUUACUCAAUCAGGAGGUGUACGGACUAGAGGGGGAGAGCCUCAUAUGAGGAGUAGUCCACCACCUCAUCAACAGCUGAUACAUCCAUUACUCGAUCAGGAGGUGUACGGACUAGGGGAGGAAGGCCUCAUACGAGGAGUAGUCCACCACCUCAUCAACAGCCGAUAUCAUUCAUUACUCGAUCAGGAGGUGUACAGACUAGAGGUCGAGGGGCUCAUACGAGAGGGAUUAGGCAUACAUCUGUUCUUAGAGAUGCACCAUCGACUGACAUUAGCCUGCCACCUGUUCAGGAGACUCCUAUUACACCUAUGGAGGUGCCAUCCACCCCACCUGUAGUACCACUUGUUGCAUCAUCACCACCAUCGAUAGAGGCUACAUUGGUUCAUGAGGAGGUAGUUCAUAUAGCAAAUGAUGAUCAACAAGGAUAAAAGACUAAUCGUGGUCGAGGACGUGGUCGUGGAGCUCAUGGAGGGUUACAUGUUAGCCCCAUAGAGCCAAUAGUGGAACAUGCACAUCAUAGACGUCCACUACGGAAGAGGAAGGCUCCUUCGUGCGGUACACAUUGAGGAUGUUACUACAUAUGACUUAUAUUUUGGAUACUAUUAGUAUUUUGCAUAUCAUUAUUUUGGACAAAUACUUAAGAUGUAUGUUUUUACUUGUUAUAUUUUGGAUUAACUAACUUUUUAUUAACGUAAGUUCUAUAGUAUUCUAUCUAUUUUGGACUAAUUUUACAUAAAAUAAUAUUGUUACUAUUUUGGAAAGGUGCUGAUUUUGACAUUUGGUUUACUUGUUUUCAUUGGUUUUGGAUUGAAUGUCAAAAUAUUGAUUAUAAUGUAUACAGGUGAUAAACUUUAAACAUUUGGUUGUACAGUAGGUAAUACUAAUUAAGAGAUAGAAUUUUUUUUUCUUUUGUAGAAGGUGUCUCUUCAAGAGACACCUUCAGCAUAAAUUCGAAAUUUUCUACUGUGUAUAGAAAUUGUGGAAAAUGUUUCUUGAAGAGACACUUUCAGUAUAAAGCAAAAUUUUUUAACAAAUAAUGAAAAUUGUGGAAAGUGUCUCUUGAAAAGACACCUUUAGUAUAAUUUUAUUUUUUGGGAAUUGUAGAAUGUCCCUUUUCAAAAUUCGAAAUUUUCACUGAAAAAUAGUGGAAAGUGUCUCUUCAAGAGACACUUUAAGUAUAAACCCAAUUUUUUUAAAAAUUAUGAAAGGUGUCCGAAUAUAAUUUCAUUUUUUUGUAAUUAUGAAAGGUGUCUCUUCAAUAGACACCUUCAGCAUAAAUUCAAAAUUUUCCACUGUUUGAAUGGAAAUUGUGGAAAGUGUUUUUUGAACAAGCACUUUCAGUAUAAACCCAAUAUUUUUAAAAUUGUGGAAGGUAUCAAGAGACACCUUUCACAAUUCCCAAAAAAUGGAAUUAUAUUGAAGGUGUCUCUUGAAGAGACAUCUUCCAUUAUUUAAAAAAAAAAUUGGGUUUAUAUUGAAAGUGUCUCUUGAAGAGACACUUUCCAUAAUUUUCAUACAUUGAAGAGAGACAUCUUUAGCUUUAAAAUCAUUUCCACAAAUUUUAAUAUAUAUUGGAUUUUGUGGAAUUGUGUAAAGUGUCUUUCCAAGAGACACCUUUAGUAUAAAUCUAAUUUUUUGGAAUUCUAGAAGGUGUCUCUUCAAGAGACACCUUUGACACCUUUUGUAUAAAUUAAAUUUUUUAGGAAUUGUAGAAGGUGUCUCUUCAAGAGACAUCUUUAGCUUUAAAAUCAAAUUCAUAAGACAUUCAAAUUUGUCAAAUUGUGGAAAGUGUCUCUUCAAGAGACACCUUUAAUGCAUAUUGGAUUUUUUGCCACGUGGAAAGUGUUUUUUCAAAAGACACCUUUAAUAUAAAUCCAAUUUUCUGGAAUUGUAGAAGGUGUUUCUUGAAGAGACACCUUUAGCUUAAAUUCAAUUCUUUCAUGAUUUUGAAAAUUGUGGAAGACGUUUCUUCAAAAGACACUUUCCAGGUGGCCAAAAUUGCCGUAAAUCUAUCAAUAUUUUCACAACUACCAUUUUUUAAUUAUAAUUUUUUAAAAUUCCCGCAAAAGUUAAAAAAGCCCCAUAAACAUGUCUAUAUUUUCUCAUGUGGGUAUGGGGACACAUGAGAGAAGGUGUUAGAGAGAAUGAUAUACAUUAUGAACCUAAAUCCUAACAACCUAAGAUUUUACGAAAAUUGAUUGUUUAACAUUGUAUCAAAGCAAGUUCAAAACCCUAACUCCUAGUUGCAAAACUAAUUUCAAUUGGACAUUGCCCUUUGCUCAUUUUGUUACUCAAGUUACUUCAAUCUAUCAUUUGGUUAAAUGACUUCUAAUGAUAGUCUACUUAUCGGAAAUCAAACUCAAGACAAUAUUGAGAUCCAUUUGCUAUGAUAAAAUUAAAUGAAUCCAAUAAUCCACUGUAGUCUAAAGUUGUGAAAUAUAUCUUAAGACAAAGGACAUAUUAUAAUUUUUUUUCUGAUGGUAUUGAAUUCAAAAAGUUUGUUGCAGAAGCAACGAUGUGACCAUGGAAGAAGCAAGGUUGAAGAAGACGUCUCUUGUUGGAAGUUGUUUUGAUGUGGAAUCGAAGUCCUUUGAAAUCUUUUUUGAGUAGAUUAAAGGUAAGUCAGUAGGAAGAUUGUUGAGAGAAGUAUGGGUUUUUCCUCUUGGAUCAGAUUUGGGGAGAGGGGUUUUUCUUGGCUCCUUGAGUGGGUGGAAGAUUGCUGUGAAGGGAAGUUCAGGGAGCCUUUUAGAAGGUUGUGGAAUAAAGGGGGAAAGGGCUACAAGUUGGAGCUGCGCUGCAACAAAACUGAAAGGUUUUUGUUGUGCCCAACUGUGUGCGUAGAGGAAAAAAGGUUUUCUUUAGUUCUCCCAAAAGGAAAGGCUCCCCAAGGGGGUUGGAAGAUUCUUGCUACAAGUCUUAGGAGCAUUAGAGUAGUCAUUGUGUCUAGACCUUUGGAGGAGUCAAAGGAGCUGAUCAGAUGUUGGGAGGAAAAGAGAGAUGACAACCUAUCUAAGUUUGCUUCAUUUGCAGAGAUGCUGAAUAGAGAUAAGAGGGAGUUGGGCAAUGAUGUGUGGAUAGAAAGUGAGUCAAAGGAGGUUUUAGUAAUUUGAGGUUCCUUAAGAAGUGCCUGGUAGGGAGGUGAGAUGGUUCUUUAGACCGAUUGCCAGCUCUGGACAUCUGCACUCAUCAAUCUUGGCGUUUGAAAGGGGAUUUGAAGAUGUCUUUGUUAGGUGGCAAUCUCAUUUUAUUUGAGUUUGAAUCUGUUUCUAAGGCUAAAAGAGUUUCGAUUUUGGCGUCUAGCUUGUUUAAGGGAAGAAGUUUGUAGCAUGACUGGUGGGAGCCAGAGGUUGGGUGCUUCAGAGAAGGCGCUUGCGUUAGUGUAGUGUGGGUAAGGGUGAUGGGUGUACCAGUGCAUCUGUAGGGAAAAGAGUUCCUAAAAAAGGGUGGGUUAUGCUUGUGGAGGUUUUAUGCUGAUGGACAUGGAGACAGAGGAAAUGUGUCACUUGAAAUGGGCUAGGUUACUCAUUAAAUCUAGUGGAAGAAAGGUGUCUACUCGAUUAUUGGUUGUGGAAAGAUAUAGUCAUUUUUGUCCACUUGUGGGAAUUUUCGCCACGGUUGUGGAUGUCGGUUUCUAAAAGGAAUUGGAAAAGCCAAAUGAUAGGGAUAACAAGGAGGAAUGUUGUGCACAACUAGGAGAGUGGAGGGGAAAGAAGGGAGGCGUGAUGCGGUAAACUUGCAGGCCAGAGCAUUUGUCUAGCCGGAUUUGGGAGUUGUGUCCGGUCGCAGUGUGCAAGUUUUGGAGGAUCGUAGCAAUCAAAGUUGGUUAAUAAUUUGGGUGGGGCCUUUUUUGGGCCCUCUUGUGGGUCGUUGGGUCGGAGGGCUUUCAUUAACGAGAAUGAUGGUGAGACCCCUUCUUUCUUAGGCCGACCCAAAUCCCCUUUUUUAAGUUUGUGCAAAGGGAAUCGGUAUUGGCUUCAUAAGUCUAGGCCACUUGAAACCCAACCCAUGUCUUUUGAAACAUUGAGUAUUAGUUUCAUUUUAAGGGUUCCUUUCGUUGGCGACACUUAUUCCUCAUUAGAGCUCUUCAACAAUUUUCUUCUAAAGGCAGUAGAGCAAGGGUCGGCAAGGUGGGUUUUGGGGGUGAAUGAAGCCCUUUUGGCUAAAGCAAUAGGCUUCGAAGGUAGGCCCACCCUUUCGACUCCUUUUUCAUCUCCGGUUGGGCCUCUCGUUGUCAUUCAUGGAUCGACAGGUAAGGCAAAGGCGAUGCCUCCCUGGAAACUCUUUUUUCUGGCUCUUGGUCACUUUGAAUGUUGCUCUAAGAUGGAAGGUUGUUAGAUCUUACUGGAAGUGAAGAAAAAGGUCCUUCAGGUACUUGUUGGUGGGUAGGGAUGAGGAUCUCGAAGUCAACAAAACCUUGGAGGCUUGUUGCUUGUCGCAGGGGGAGGAGCUUAGCUCUGCAAGUCUUCCUAGUAAGUUUCCAAAGUUCAGUAGUUUUUUGGGGUUGCAAGUGGUGGGGUUUGAAAAGGAAAUCACUUUUGAGGAAAAUGGAAUCAAGAAAAGGACAUGAGGCUAAAGUCUUAAGGGGAAGUAGGAAAUUUUAGUCUACUUGUCUGGAGAGGGAAAUUUGAAAGCUUGAAUGCUCGGUGAAUUACAAUUGUUCUCUCCUCUCAAUUAGGGGGAAGGGCGGGGAGCAAUAGGGUUUGAGUUCUUUCGCUAUGAGGUCGUUGUUUUCACUUACAACUUGUUUAUUGGUUUUUGGUUACAGAAGGGCUCUCAGAUGGCUUCUUAUCCAUCCAACGUUUUACCUAGGUUUGUAAGGUGUUAGGGUUGGCUGCUAUUAGGUGGUUUUUUUUUUUUGCUCUACCCUUUUCUCUUGCUAGCAUUUAUGUCUUUUUUGUAUACUUUGUGUGUACUUAGUUGUGUAUUUUGCUAGCGCUCUUUAAUAUAUUCUCCUAUAUACCCAUCAAAAGCCAAUAAAUUUUUUCUGAUGAUCUUCCUCCUAGUGAUCCAAAAGACAUGAACAAUGGCAUAAGGAGAAAUCAAUUAUCAUGACCUGAUUAUGGAAUAACAUGAUGGCAUAGGGAGAAAUUAGUAAUCAUGACCUGAUUAUAGAAUAGCAUGAAACCUAGUAUCGAUGUUAUUGGUAUGCUCUUUGACACUGCCAAAUGAAUUUAGGAAAUAUUAUGGGAAAGGUGCUCGUAAGAUAAAAAUAUUUCAAGGAUUUAAGAUAUGCAAGUAUUUAUUCUAGCACACAGAUUUUGUUAGUGAAUAUUAUGGUCAACUACAAGGUAUGUGAGAGAAACUCAACAUGUAUCACUAUCAUCCUAUCAUUAAUGAUAUUGACUGUUACAAAGGCAACAAGAAGAAUUUAGAGUAGUAAAGUUUCUUUCUAGUCUAUGUCUAAGGUAUUCUUGUGCUAAGAGUAAUACCCUCUUUCGUUAACAGUUACCUAUCCUGAGUAGUGUCUACUCUUGCCUUCAACAUGUUAAUCUAGAUUCUUUUGUGGAGUAUUCUUCUAUGGAAAACAAAGAAGUUGCAGCUAUUGUUACUUCAACUAGUCAUGAGAAAGGUGAAUCUACAAAGCAAGUUAGAGGCUGAGAUCUAGAGGGAGGACAUGGUUCAUGUUGAAGAUAUAGAUAUCAUGACCACUAUGGUAAAAUUAUUCAUAUGUCAGAGAAAUGUCAUAUUUAAGUUUGGUCAAACUAUUUAGGCAAAGUCAGGUGGUUUGUGACAAAGUGGAGAACUCUUUCGAGCCCAUGGUUUCCUCCUUUAGUAAUGUUUAUACUCGUAUCAUGCUUACACAAUAAGAGUAUACUUGUCUAGUUUCACACAGAUUGCUAUUUUGGCUCACUAAGGUGCUACAAUUGCUUUAUUUUCUGCUACCUUCCAUUCUCCUUAGAUUAUAAAUUUGAGAGCCUCUUCUCACAUGACUAGUAAAUCUUUUGGUAUUUUUGACCUUUCUAAUUUUUCCAUGCAUUCAUCUGUUAUCCUGACUAAUGGUUCUAAAUCCUAAGUGCUGCGAGAAGGAACUGACUGUCCUGCUUGUAACUUCUCAUUGUCCCCUAUAUCAUAUGUCUUUAACUUUCCUAUGAAUCUUUUAUCUGUAAGCAAAUUAACCAAGUCUCCUAGUUGUUCUGUAAAAUUCUUCCCUUCCUAUUCUGUACUUCAGGAUCUUUCCACGAAGAAGGCAAUUGGUGGAGGGCGUAAAGCUAAUGAAGUUUAUCACCUUAUUGGCCCACCUCUUGCUCCAAUUGCUCUACAUACUUCUAUUUCUUCCACCUAAUGAUUGUAUUGAUUGGAUCACACUCCACGUAGCAUUCUUUAACUUAUGAGAUUUCUAGUUAUAUCAAAAUCCUAGUUGCAGUGUCAUACCUAUGAGUUAGGCAAACAUCAUAGGUCUACUUUUCAUGCUAGAGUCAACAAGAGGAGUUCUAGUCCUCUUUCAUCUUGUUCAUUCAGACAUUUAGGGUCCAUGUCAUGCUCCUAAUGUUUUAAGAUUUAAGGAUCCCCUAAGUUUUGUUAAUAAUUAUUCAAGAGUCAUUUAGUUAUUUUUCUUAAAAGAUAGACCAGAACUUGGUUUUUUAGUUCAGUCUUUGUUUCAUGAAAUAAAAACUCAGUUUGGCAUGUUGUAGACCCUCAAUUUUACCCCUUUAGCACAUGUCUUUAAGUUCACUUCCAGUGCUCCACAAUAGUUCCUUGGUGGCCCAUUACUACUCAUACUAUUUACUUUUUUUUUAGCCACCUCGGAGACUCUGGUUGAGGGAUUUAUCUAACCCCAUUGUGAUUCUUGGUAACCCUAAUUUAUACUUAGGUUUUUUCCUUCCUUUUUAAGAUAGCUUUUAGGUGCACUUUUAGGAUUGCACACUUAGGCAUGUUUAGGUCACUUAGACCCACUUAAGCACACUUGGCUCAUUAGGCACUUUUAGACUCACUUUUUUAUAUGACUUGCAUGAUUGCAUGACCUGCAUGACUUAUGUGGCUUAUGUGGUUUUCUUCAUCAUUUUCAUUUCAUUUUAUUUUAUAUUAUUAUUAUUAUUAUUUUAUUUCAUUAUAAGUUUUCUAAAUCAUAUUUCUUGGCUUUUUGGGCAUGAGGAAACGGGCUGCCGUCUAUUUUGGAAGGAGGAUUACCAGAAUUUUGGAGAAAGGAAAGUGGCAGAUUUUUUUGGUAAGAGAAAAGAAAGUUUCCUUUUGAAAAAAAAACAGAGAUAGAAUAAAAAGGAAAGAUUAGAGGGAAUAAACAGAAGGAGGUUUUUGGAAAAGGGGGGACUGGCAGCACGCAUGGGGCAGGGGAGAGAAGGAGAAAAGAACGAUCAAUAGGAAUCAUGGAGAAGAGAAAAUGAGUAGCCCAUGCACCAAAGAGGGGAACACCACAUCCUUUACGAACAUGCUACAAAUUUGAAAGGGGAAUUCCUCUCCAACAUAAACGGUUUAAUGAGAUUGGAGGAACAACACGCACUCCCAUUGAUAACAUGAAUAUGCACCAUUACGGGUAGCAGACAUGAUCAGCGCACGCCAGGAGGAAACUGGGCAGAAAAGUGAGAAUCAGAGGAGCAUUUUUUGGGUAUGGCUGCUCUGCGCUCUCUGUUUUCUUGAUCAUCGUAUAAUUCUUCAUAUUUUCUUGUUAUUUAUGGGCAUCGCGUCUUUGCUUUAGGUAUGGAUAUCUGGUUGUAUGUUUGUUUUUAAUUAAGUUCUAGGCUGAUCAUAGAUUUUAAUAUUGUUGAUUUAUUUGUCCUUAUAGCCCUAUUUGUGGGUAACUUGGUUUGCUCUAAUGUUGCUAUAUAUCAUAAGCCUUGCUACUGGUGCUUUUUUCCUUUAAUUAUAUUUUGAUGUCCCACUUGAUUUUGAAGUCCAUUUAAAGAGCAUGAAAUGUGACUUAUUCUGAUUACCCACCCAUUGUCUUCCUUUCCCCUGUUUUUUUUCUUUCUUUCUUGGUUUCUUUUUCUAUGCUUCUGUAUCUACGUUUCUUCCUCUUCUUUGCUUUGGUGUUCUCGGCUAUGGAGACAAUGAGUAUUCCAAGAAAGGUGGAAACUUUAUAAAGGCUGUGUACAGUGGGGGUUGCUUGGGGUUAGAUGGGUGCAGAGGUUGCCACUGUUUCUAGGAGCUCUUCGUGAAUUUCUGAAUUGGAUGUUGGUAGAUUUAAACUAUGAAGAUAUCUCUGGUAAUUAUGUUACUUGCAUGAUUGAUGAAAGAAUCUACUUUUUUGGGUUUCGUGUCAUGAAAAGAGCAUGGGGUCAUCUCCGCACUAGAAAGUUUCUCACCGAGUGUUUGCAGCAAGGGAUCAAAUCAUGGUUCUUGCUCCUGGUGGGAUCUGGAAUAUUUUGAGUAAUGAAAUGGUUGAGACUGGGUUGAUACUAAACCUGGCAGUUUAUAUUUCCACUUCAAACCUGUCUUUAAUGAAGGAUGGAAGCGUGAUAUCACCAAGAAUGGUCCUAAAGCUAUUAGGUCACUGGACGAUAAGAAAGAGGCUUGGGUAUCCACUCAGGAGUGAUUCUCCAUUUGGUUCUUCUGUGCCUAAUACUACAACAGAUUCAUAGUUAAAUUACAGAGGAAUUAGAAAAGUUGAAGUGAAUAAAGCGAGGGGCUCUGACAAUGGUAUACUUAUAGGGAUGGGGCACUUCUACAAUAGGGAAGGCUACUGUUUUUAGUUGGUAUAGCUCGACAUAAGAGUGAUUACAACAAUAUUUUACUAGUCCUUGUUUAUAAUAAUGGUAAUCAGAAAAUCAUUCCAAUGGGUGCUUACUUUAAUAAGGCAACGUCUAGUUUUGGCUCGAUAAGUUCUAUCUUCAACUAGGAGACUGCCAGUUCUAUAUCAAGGGGUCACAUCCAUCACGCAGUGGAUGGGAGCGUGUCAUCCAUUUCAGUCUGUCGUAUUAACCCCAAGCUUUCUGGCUUUAGUAUUGUUUUCUAGGAAAAGUUUCCUGCAGCAAGCCCCUCAAUCAUGGCAUAACAGAGAGAGAUGGCAUUUCUAAAGUAAUCUCAAUGUCCUCCCAGUAGCCCACACCAGGAAGCUAAAGGUCUUAAUGAUGAAGAUGAUCUCUCAAAGGACAACAGAGAAGGACUUGAUAAUACAUUUGAAAUGGAUUCUCACCUGGAACUGGAUAUAUAUGGUGAUUUUGAGUAUGAUUUGGAAGAAUAAUUUUGACAAGGAAUUUGAAGAUAUUGAGGAGUGCCCCACCUGUAACAGUGUGAACCACACCGCAAAUCAUAGCCUUCCUCGCCUUGUUCUCAAGGCGUGCAAACACAAGUUCCAUUCAGCCAACCUGUGCAAGUGGUCCUCCACUUCUCAUAAAUCAACUUGCCAAUCGUGCCAGGCUCCAUUCUGACCUGAAUUGUUCAAGCAAUGAUGCUUCAAUGGAUAUAACAUUCCUUUCACGGGAAGGGAUAUGGGUUGAUGGAGUUAAAUGAGUCACAGUAUAAACUCAUGGCCUAAGCUUUGGUUGGAUUUAAACCUUCUUUGGGUGUAUAUGAAAGUUGUUGAAUAAUCAACCAUAUGAAAACAGAUACACUGAAUGGGGCCUUUCAUAUUACCUACUGGUGUUUGUGACAUUAAUUUCAGGCUUAAUGAGUUCAUGAAAUAGGAGUUCGUGAAGAAGAAAUGUGCUUCCUUCCAAUGUCAACUUGCCUCCAGGCUAUUAUAUGCCUUGAAGAGAAGUUUCUGGAUUAAAGACUUAGAGCUGAAACAAGAGGAAUGUUGGAUAGAGAGGCUUCUAAGAUGGCAUCUGAUUCUUUCAUGGAGUAUGUGUUAGCCCAAAAACGAGAGAUAAUUUAAAUUAGUGGCAUUCUUGAUAUGAACAGGAAUGAUUGGAUUUCGCUGCCAAAGACCGAAUUUUAGAGUUACGAGCCCUAGUUUGAUUAUUUAAGGAGCUUGGAAAUUGAAGAGAAGAUCAGCAAAGUAAGGUGGUGUACAACACCCAGUGGAUCGCUAUUUAUUCUUUCAACAAACGAGACAUUAAACCUGUGGGACCUGGAAAUCAAUGAUCAAUGUUUUAAUAUCAUGAAACCAUCAAACAGGGAGGAUCUUACUGAGGUGAUAACAGCGGUUGAGUUCCAUUCGAUUCACUAUAAUCUGCUGGCAUAUAACAGCUCAAGAGGUUCUAUUCAGCUAGUUGACUUGAGGCAAUCAACAAUAUGUGAUCACAAAGCAAGGAUAUUACAACAUGGAGAGUCCAGUGGGCUUAAAUCUUUUUGACAGAAAUUCUCAUCUAUCUUGGACUUUAAGCUAGCGUCUGAUGAAAAGCAUCAGAAUUUUCACCCUAUUCUAUGAUAGAUGCACGCAUGGCAGUAUGCUCGAGAUCAUUGUAGGCCUUUAUCUGAGAAGAAACAGAAUGGAGGAACCAGCGGAGAGAGGAAAACAAGCAAACAAGGAGAGGAGUGGGGUUUCUCAAGAUGCUCAGUCAUACAACAGAAUUGAUAGCAAGGAAAUCCAAUAUGAAAAACCUAAUUGUAGAACUGCAUUUAGUUUUGCUGCAGGAAAUUUUAACAAUGCUUCAGAUUAUACCAAUGGUUUGAAUCUUAAUCACCUUAAUGGUGAAACUGAAGCUCAAUUCAAGCACAUGGGAGUGGAAAUUCAUUCUGAAUAUGCUUCAAACAGCAUGGUCACAGAGAACUCAGACAAAGGUUCAGGAAGUUAUGGGCCUGCAAUUGAAAAGAGUACAAGGAACCUAGUUACAGGAGGAAAAUAUUCAUGUGCAUCUAUGACAAUAUCUUUCAGAGAUGCCGAUAUAUCUUCACACGAUGUCAAUCAUACAGAGUCCAGCAUCUGUCAAAUUCCUGAUGUUGUAUAUGAAACCACUGAGGAUUAUUCAGCUGUGCAGUAUUGUAUCAGUGCAGACGGUUCACCUUUUUUUAUCCUUCAAGUCAACAUGUGCCUGAUUAUUUUGAUCUUCAAUUUAUGCCAAACAAUGAACAAAUGCUGAUCAGCAUGAAAGAUGAAAAUGAGGAGCUUUCAGUUGAGGAUAUAUGCUUAAACAGUAAGAUGAAUUUAUCUCAAGUUGCAAACUUUUGAACUUAGUAAUCAGAUAACCUUAGCUGCAGCUGGGAGAUACUUGAGCUAAACAGAGAGACAAGUUCAACUUGCAUUCGGAUGUAAUAAAGAUCUUACAGGAUUCACAGAGUGCACAAGAAAUACAGUCCUCAACCCAAGUUUCACAUGAGUCCCAAAGUGACCACCAGAACAACACAAUAGAGGCUCCCGUGGCAGACUCAGAUUCAAUAUGCAUUUCAAGCAAUGAUAGCAGGAAAGUUUUGCGUGAAGAUAUUGAACUUGUCCAGAAUUUGAUAGAACGGUGCCUACGACUGUACAUGAACAGGGAUGAAGUGGUGAGAGCUAAUUGGGAACUUUAUUGAAGAAAAAUACUUUGGAUAACUUAAGAUGGAAAUAGGUCUGUGGAAAGGAUGGAAUCUUAGCAAGAACGCUCAAGGCACGUGUUGAGAUGAAGCAUAUGAUGAGGGAAUUUCUUUGUGUUUCUUCAUGGGCAUUGAAGAUGGAUACCAAUUUUGGUGCCAUCAACGAGAGGGAAUGCACUGUAUGCCUCUUUGAUUUGCACCCGUCAGCAGCAGGUUGUCACUGUUCUCCGGAUAGCUAUGCAUGCCUAAAUCACGCAAAACAGUUGUGUUCUUGUGCUUGAAAUACCAUUUUUUUUUUUCCUCUUUUGUUAUGACAUCAGUGAAUAAAAUAUCCUUGUUGAAGCUUUGGAAGGAAAAUUAAGUGCAGUUUAUAGAUGGGCAAGACUAGACCUUAGUCUGGCUUUGAGUUCUUGCAUUUCCAAAGACGAUUUGUAAAUUCCUAGGCUUAUUGAUAAAUUAUCUUAGUCCUCAGAAAGAAUAGUACUGAAUGGGCAGAAUUCUAAACCUGUAUAAUCCUACAAAAGAUGGGAGCAGAAAAUGUUUGAGCAAAUCUAAAUAGCAAAGGGUAAACAAGAGGAUGAUGGAGUUUGGUAUCCUCUAGGCAGCCACUUUCGAAAGUCCAGCAAUGUAGGAUCCAUCAGAAAGUCUCUAGCUUACUGCCCCUUCACCUUCACACACACGAAGAAGUUGCUGAAUCUUAUUGAUUGAGGGUAAAUUUCUGAUUCUGGGCAAUUCGAUAUGCCUGGAGAAUGAGAAGUUAUUCGGGAAACUGAACAUCUGAAAAUCAAUUAAGACACGAGCACUCAGUUGAAGAAAAUUAUCUGUGAGCAAGUUGACGAUAGAAGCAUAACUCAGAUGUUAAUGUAAGAGAAAUUGCUUAUGCACAUUUCCAAAUAAGAUGAUAAGCUGAAAUCACUUUUCCGCUAGCAUUUUCUCUCUUCUGCCAUCGUGAGGCACUGUUAGAAUGAUGACAGUGGUUCUACUUUCUCCAAUGUAGUAAACUCAAACGACCUCAUAUCAUUCUCUGAACCUGAAUUAGAAGAAAUGCUGGAAGACAUCAGUCGAAGUACACCAAGUUCUGGCUCGGGUUGUGAAGACAGUAGCAUGAAAACAGAAACUUUAGGAAGAGAUGGCAGUGAAAUUCAUUUCUCUACAGUUGUUUUGAGUGAAUCUUAAAUCUGGAUUUCAAAACCUUUUUCCAUUAAAUAACUUUUCUUUUCUUUAAAAUCUCAUCCUUAAGGCUAUGUUUGGUUCCCGGAAAAUUUGAGGGAAAAUGCGAGGGAAAGAAAAUGCAAAGGAAAAGUAGAAGGAAAGAAAAAGUGAAGGAAAAUAAAAAAAAUAGAUUAAAAGUUGAUAAAUUAUUUUUUUUGUUACUUCAAACUCAUUUUAUUUAUUUUAACUCAUCAAUAUAAAGAUUAAAUAAUUUAAAAAUAUAUAAGUUUUUAAUUAGUUUUAAUUAUAUUUGAUUUUCUUUGAUAUUUUUCAUAGGACAACCAAACAUGAGAAAAUCAUUUUCCUUAGCAUUUUUUUUCUUUCCUUUGUACUUUCCGGGAACCAAACAUAGCCUAAGAGUUUCUAGGCAUAAAAUCUAGAUUUUUAAUAAACUCUUUGCUAUCAUUUCCCUUCCAGCAUGCCUUUUCAUCAUUUUCAACUAAUUUUCACGAUUUUUCUCGUUUUUUUCAACAAAUAUGAAUAAACUUCAUGAUUCCAAAUAAUGGAAUUCAUAGAAUCAACUCAUGCAAAAUUCAUUAGGGCUUUGGUGGGGGCCCGACAUCCAUGAAAUUUUCUUCAAUAUAGCUUGUUUGAUAUUUGGUUGAUUGUGUUUCCUCUUUGUGGCAUAUAUGAGAUUAUUUUACACAUGUUAUUGAGCUAACCUUGUUUUCUAUUCUAGUGCUAAGCUCAUUGUCCAGGUACGCUCUCCAUGACCCCAUCCUCAAAAUUCCACGAAUAUCCAUGUCUUUGUGUACUAUGCCCUUGUUUGGUGUCAUGCUUGAAUGUCUUGAUAUAUGUUUCAUUGUUCGAUUAUCUAUGAUAAAAUGCAUGUUGGGUGAUAUAUUAUCUAAACUAACCAUUGAUGUUUUAUGAUAGCGCUUAAGAAGUGGUUCAGGUAUGCCCCCUAACUCUCCUUUAUUGUGAUUUGAUCCUGUUUGGCAUGUUAUUUUUUGUAAUCACCUUAGUCAACCUAGGUAUCCUUAGUUAAUCAAUUAACUGCCACAUCUCUCUCAACUUAGUCAAUAGAGACCUUUGUAAUACUUAGAGGAGUGCUACCUCCUAGAGGUACCUUCCCAAUAAGUAACCCGAUCCCUGGACUUAGACUCGGGUUUUUCAAAGACACGUUUUUCCAAAAAUUAUGGAGUCAUUUUUUUAGGGUUUUAUUUCUUGUUUUAUUUUCCCUUUAAAAUAAAAAUAAAAUAAGUGGCGACUCUGACUUUUCCAAAAAUUAAUUUUUCACCAAAUAAAAGCAAGUCUCGCCGAUUGAGUGGAGGCGCACGUGAAAAAUGCGGGUCCACACAUGCCUAUUAAAACAUUUUGUUUUGAUAAUCCUUUUGAGGUCUUAUAUUUUUCUGUUUCCAAUUUUUCUGAGAAUAAUGGGAUUAUUUACCAGACAUCUUUCUAUGACACUCCAUAGCAAAAUGGAACGGCAAAGAGAAGAAAUAGACACCUUUUGAAAGUUGCCCUUUUACUGUUUUUUCAUAUGCAAGUUCCAAAAAGAUUUUGGGGCAAUGUUGUCCUUACUGCUUGUUUUCUCAUUAAUCCUCUUCCAUCCAAUGCCCUUAAUAAUCAAUCACCAUUUUGCUAUUUUAUAUCUAUAUCUUUCUUUGUUUUUUGUUUUUUAUUUAUUUUUAUUUUGUUUUUGGUUUUUGUUUUUUGUUUCUUUUCCUUCCUUUUCUUCAUGAAUAUUUGCAUGUGUUGCUUUAUGCAUUAUGUGGCUACAAGUUCAAAUACGCUCUCUUUGGACCACAAAGUGCAUCUUCCUUGGGUAUUCCAAACUUAAAAAAUGAUACAAAUGUUUUGAUCCCACUUUAGGAAUAUACUUAAUUAGUGCAAAUGCAACAAUUUUUUUAGUGUCCCUUGUUUUUUCUUUUAGAGGGUUGACUCCUGAUAUACAACUCUUGUUUUCACCUUCAAAUCCUCCUCUUUUCAUUAUUCCUCUACCUAAAUUGGUUAUGUCAUCAACUCCCACUGUUCACGUGUCUAAGAAACUUUUGAAGCCUAUACAAGAAGGAAAGUGGCCACGAUUAAGAUUACUUCGCUAGUGGAGCAACCCACCAUUACAAUAGAGGUUUAUCUCCUAUAACUAAUCCGUUGACUUAAUUUGAUCCAUCUCCUCGCCAUUGCUCUUUGAACAAGUAAUAGAACUGCUAGUCAAUAUACUUUUUUUAUUUUUUUAUUUAUUUUUUAUUAGAAACAAAAUAGAUGUAUUAAUGGAGAAAAGAAAUAUGAGAAGGAAAUCCUUCCCAUGAAGUACAAGUGUGAUCAAAAGAACUAAAUAAACCUCCACUAACCAAGGAAGGUUAUAAAAAAUGUACAAAAGGCCGCUUGAUCAAAAUAACUAAGUAAACCUCCACUAAACCAAGGAGGGCUAUACAAAAGGAACAAAAGGCCUAUACAAGCAAAAGAAUCUUGACCCUAUAAACCCAACCCUAAGGUGUACAUAACGGAAGCCAUCCAAGCCGGAUUACACUCAGAAAGAAACAUAAAAAUAAAGUUGAUCCCACAUCAUCUCUGGCAUCUGCCAAAUGUCCUUAAAAACCCUAGCAUUUUUCUCUCUCCACACAAUCCACAACAGAGAGAGACAUGUGAUCCUCCAAAGGGUCUUACCUCUAAUAGAAUUCCCAAAACACUUGAGGAAAUCACCAACAUAUCACAAAUACUACUAAGCUGAACCCACUCCAUCCCAGACCUUGAUUUUUCCCAUUUUUCUUGUCUUUUCUCAAUCUUUUAUUUUGUCUUUAUCGACUAUUGUCAUUCUUAAGACUUAUCAGGGGCCUCUCUCUCAUCAUGGUUGGAAAGUUGCUAUAAAAAGGGGAGAUGACUACUUCAUGUAAUUGUGGCACAUGGGAUUUAACUACUUUAAAAUAAGGGAAAAAAAUUGUUGGUUGCAGGUGGAUUUUUGCUGUUAAACACCAUGUAAAUGAUGCCAUUGAAAGGUUAAAAGCACAACUACUUUGAAACUUUUUCACCGGUGGCUAGACUCAAUUCAAUAUGCUUGUUAAUUUCGUUGGUUAUUCAUUUUUAUUGGAAUUUAUCCUAACUUAAUGUCAAAAUUGCAUUUUUAUACAAUGAUAUACAAGAAAUCAUUUUUUCCCCCUUUUGAUGGCCAAAUGAGAUUAUAUUAAAAGUUCCAAACAAAAAAGGGGCGCACACCUAGAAUACAAGAAGUAUAUAUCUAAAAGGCAAAAAGAAACAACAAACAAGCACAACCACAUUCUAAUUACUUUGAACACAACCGCCUAGGCUUGUUGCUCAAGUGGAGUUAAGAAAGGUGUGUAAGUUGAAGAAAGUCAUAUAUGUGCUGAAACACUCCCCUUGGGCAUCUUUAGAUAAGCUUUGUAGAGUACUAGUCUCUCUUGGCUUUUCUAGAUGCCAUUAAGAUCAUCUAAUCUUUGUGAAAAAUACAAUUAAGUACAUUGGUUCUAAUUAUUCAUGUUGACGGUAUACUCAUGUAUGGCAAUACUUUGAGUGUGAUUGAAGAGUUAAAAACACAGUUGAAUAAUACAUUUUAAACUAAAAACCUGGGUUGCUUAGAUAUUUAUUGGGCAUUGAAGUUGCUCUUAUUGGUUUUGUCUCAAAAGAAAAUAUAUGUAAGAUUUAUUAAGACUAGUAUGCUAUGAUCUAAACCUAUAAAUACACCUAUGAAUCCUAAUAUGACAAGGUAGCUUGUGUAGAUUAUGUUGAUACAAGAAGAAUAGAUGUCGCAUUGGAAAACUCAAGUAUUAGACUAUGACUUAUCCUAAUAUUACCUUUGUUAUAGGUUAUCAGUCAAUAUAAGGAGAGUCCUCAAGAAGUGCAUUGGGAUGCCUUUAGUUGCAUUCUUAGAUAUCUAAAAGGGAUAGUUUGAAUGGGUAUUUUAUAUAAGAAGAGCACUAAACUUAACAUUUUCAAUUAUUCAUCUGUUGAUUAGGUUGGUUCUAAAUCUAACAAGCAAUCUACUAGUGGGUAUUGGUAUUGUACUUUUGUGGAAGGGUAUAUGAUAACAUGGAAAAGCAAGAAGCAAAAUGUUGUGGCCAAAUAUAGCACUAAGGCUGAGGCAGAGUAUCAUGCUAUGGCCCGUGCUGCUUGUAAGCUCAUGUGAAUAAAAAACCUUAUCAAGGAAUUCUAUGUUGAAACUAAGAAGCCUACGAUUAUGUUUUGUGAUAAUCAAGUCGCUAAAAGUAUUGCAAGUAAUCUUAUGUUUCAUGAGCACACUAAACAUAUUAAGGCGGAUUGUCAUUUCAUUUGGAAAGUAAUGAUGAUAAGUUAUGUGAUCACUUCUUAUGUUAGAAGAGAAAACCAACUUGGAGACAUAUUUACCAAGGUCAUUUUCCAAAAAUCUGUUUUUAUAUAUCUGUUCCAAGCCUGGAAUUGAAUAUUUCUUUACUCCAUCUUGAGGGGGAGUGUAAAAGAUUAUUUGAGUGUCUAUUAUUGUAUUUUGAGUGUCAGGAUUAUUAUAGGGCUGUUUUAUUUUAUUAUUUUCUAAUUAAUAAAAAAAAAAAAGGGAGAGGCACAUUACUUCACUCAUUUCUUGUUCUUUAACAACACUAAUGCAAAAAACUCUUGCAGAUUAGUUACAUUGUCAAGGCUUCCAUCUCCCAUUGUUUCAUCCUUAUCAUUUAUUUUCCUUAUGGAUUGCAAAGACAUGUAUAUUAUGCACACACCCCUGUAGACAAGAACAUCCAUAAUCAGCCACAUUAAAGUCCUUUUCCAAUCAAUUUUCCGCACACAAAACCAUGAUGGCAAAUUAAGAGUUCAGGAGUGCAACCAGAGAAUAUACUCAAUCAAUAUUCUGAAAAGUUCAAGAAUGAAAUUUUGGUGGGGGAAGUUUCCUUACAUGUUUGAAUUUAUAAAGGACAACAGUAAGUUAUUUGGAAUAAUAAAGUAGUUUCACAAAUAAAUCCAGAACCAUUUGAAUAGCUAAAUGAGAUUUCAUUUAGCCAAUUGCAGGCAUGUGCCAAACUAUCACCCAGAAAAACUAGAGAGCUCAAAAACACAUGGCUAUCCCUAUGCUAGGUUAUUAGCCAGAAAAAAACAAAAAAUUAACAAUAUUUAUCGACAUUACAAACUCAUUUUAUGGAAUAAAAAAUAACAAAAGAUACCAAUUUCAUUUCUUGAGUUCAAUGCAGUUAAGAAAAAUUAUAUAAUGGUACAAUAAGAAGGAAAAUACACUACUCUGUAAAUAUUAAAUUUUAAACAAACAGAAAAAUCACUUAAAUAAAUCCAAGAAAUAGAAAUAGAGCUAAGAAGGUAAUGGCAUCCUUAAAAAGUGUGCCUUGAUAUGAGCAUAAUAACAAACAACAAAACCACUUGAAUAAAACCUUGAAGAACAAGGGAUUGAAAGAAGGGAAUCAAAUCCCGUAGGUUUAAAGCUACAUUCAAAGAAUCAGUGUUAAGACAAUUAGUAUGAGCUCCCAUCUUCAUAAUGAUACUGGAAUUUUGUGGGAAGGACAUUUCAUCCUUCUCUUGAACUAUACUAUUAUCAAUAUAUAUUUUGUUUAUGAUAAAAAUAAAUAAAUAAGGAUACUGGUGACUCAUGCCCAAUUGGUGUCUCAGCUGAUUUGUGUUCAGCUGGUGCUCCUUGAUUGAGGAAGUGAUCAACAAAAUUUAUACCUAUAACACCAUACACUAGGGUAGCAAAUACAAAGCUACUAUAGUAUAGUGGCUCUAAGGAUCGUUCACUGGGAAUGAUUUGCAAGCAAUCAAGGAUACCAAUUCCAAGUGAAUUGGUUUUGUUUCAUUUCACGGUUAGUUUAAGAAAUAAAACACAAACUUUGAUUGGUAAAGGUUGAGACUUAAACUAACUAACUUAACAGAAGUUUGGAAUAAUUUAGGAAGAAAAGCAUUCCUUGGAGAUUUAGGUUCACUGGGGUGGUUCCUCAUGCAAAAGACAUAGCUCCGGUCAGAUGGUUCAUUUCCUCGCAUUAGAGAUUCAACUUAUAGUCAAUUCUCUAACCGGUGAUGUACAGAGACUCCUUCAAUUAGAUUUCACUUUAAUUCUCUCACUGAUACAACUUGCAAUGGUUCAUGCCUCUCACGAGCACUUACCAUUCAAGGUGAUCUUUAACCUUGGACUUCCCUUCACAAACUCGCAAGAGAUAACUAAUGGAUGUCUCCUAGGAGUCCAAAAGCUUACCAAGUGUUGGUAAUUCCAGAAAAUCCUACCUUGAAGUCACCUACCAGAGGCUCGCAAGGGGUAAACUAGUGCAUUUCCACGGUUGGAAAUCACUUGCCUUACCAAGUGUUGGCCCAGGUGACUCUAAGAUGUUUUAAGUUAACUAAAAACAUUGAAAUCACUGAAGGAUUUCACUUCCUCUUCAUUAAAAACUAAAACCACGGAGCUUUGCAUUCUUGCACUUGGAACCUUCCCCGGCAACCUUAGCUCCAAGGAAUUGGAGGUUUAGUUACUCAUUCUCUGGGGAAAACUCCUCAGAGAAUUCAUAACUUAGAAAUAAAAUGAAAAUACAAAGUGAGAAGGUAAGGCAGUAGAAAGAAAAGACCUUUUACUUACUUCCCAAAAUGUUUACAGAAGGAACUCCUCUCUGAGAACAUGCUCUCGAGAGGUAUUUAUAUUAAAGCAAUAUAAAACUAAUUCUUACACUGAUAUUUGGUCUUUUUACUAACUUAAAAACUAAGGAAUCAUGUAAUUGGUGGUUUACAAGGAGUAUUUUGGGAUUUAGACAACAAAAAAUCUAAUGGAAAAUAUCUCCCAAUGUCGGUAGCAAGCUUCGGGAGGCUUCAGGAGCCAUUUCGCAGGAGAAAAGUGGUGCCUGCGAAAUUUCGCAGACACCCAAGAGGGCUGCGAAAUUAUUUCGCAAGACCAAGCUAUCUUCACCAGGCUGCAAAGUUGGCUUCCAUCUUGAAGUUUCCAGCUCCCUUCUCGCGGCAUGGUUCGUGCAUCGUCAGAAGGAGAAACACCUUACUGUACAAAAGUGUUGCGAAAUUCUCGCAACAAAGUGCUGAUUCCGCAACACUUUAGAGUGACUGGCUUGUAAUGGCUGCAACUUCUUCGUUUCAACUCCAAAUUGCACACCGUUUGAAGCAUUGGAUUGUUGACUUCCUGAGCUUUGAAAUGGUAUAUAGCUUGCAUCAUUUGGACUUCAGAAAGUGCUCCAAAAGUGGCUGCUACGACUGUCAUCAAGAAUAUGCUCCAUGACUGAUCCUCUUUGCUUUUUCUCCUUGCAAUCCGGAUUCACUCUUGGCAAUUGAAUUCUAAGCUUUGCCCAAGAUUCCUCAUAGUUCUCCUCAUUCUUGACUUGCUUUGGUGAUCAAAAUACUAACAAAAACACCAAAACUUGCACAAAGUGAUCAAAAUUGCUUUAAAGGAUCCUUAACAUGCCAAUUGAGUUAAAAGGCCUAAACUACUACUCAAAAGUGUUAAAAAGGAUUAAUUAAAGGCUAUCAAAUAGCACUUUUUGAGUAGUAAUCAACUGGCAUAGAUUAAGAAAGAGUUUUUAAAGGCCCCUGGGGCUAAGGCUAGGCUCAAGGAAAAUGCCUCAAGGCAUAACCAAUAGGCUCAAGCGAACAAAAGGCUCAUAACCCAACGUGUAGGGACAGUGUUAGACAUUCACCUCAACACACUAAAAAAAGACUUCUCUUUGAAAUAUUCUUUCCAAGUCCCAACCAAAUAUAAUUCUUGAUGAAUAGAUGGGCUUAAUACCAUUUCUCAUCUUUUCUUUUUCUUUCUUUUAAUUGCUUUGUGGGCUUGAAAUUCCUAAAACUUCACUUCAAUGAUUUAUUUUUAACAUUAGAUUUAUUCCUAAAUAUUGAAGUAACACCCACCAAAAAUAAGUUAUGUUUGGAUUUGAUCAAAUCAAAAUAUGAAAUUUUGGCAUUUCCAUGAAAAGAUUAAGUUGUAAUGCUGUCCAAGUCAAUUCUCACCAAUCUGGUCCAUGAAGACUAAAAUUUCUGAAGAAAGCACUAAUACUGCAUUUGAAGAGGACUCAUCCAAGCUUCCCUUGAGCAACAUUUCUAGUGAGACCUUUCCAAAUUAUUUAAUCCUUCUAAAAUUCCUUUAAAGACAGUCUAAAUUAAUCACAAAAUAAAUUAAAACUAGAUACAACUAUAAAUGUAUCCAGAACCAAAAAUAUUUUUGGUUCUAAUAAUAAUUAGUUGGGUCUUGAUUUAAAUUGAGUUUCCAAAGAUGAAAGUGAGCCAAAUUAAGCUUUUAUUGAUAGAAUUGCUAAAGUGCACAUCAAUUAAUCGAGUAGUUUGAUCUCAGUCUUUCUUUGAAAAGUUAUAUUUCACAAGAAACAUACUUGAUACAGCCCCAUCCAAGCUCAAGUUCAUAUCUUCUCACUAAUUUGAGAUUGAGGAUUUACUUCUUAGAGAUAUUCCCUGAGAUUUUAAGAGAAAAUUCUUAAUUAAGAUUAUUCCUUUAUCAAGAACCUGUUCAUGCAAUGAAGUCCUAUUCAAUUCCUUCAAUAGAAGUGUAGGUCAAUUGUUCAAUCAAUGUUGAUGAGAUUUUGCUUCUAUUAAGUGGUAUAGAAGGCACUACUCUAGUAGGUAGCAACAAGACUAGUAGUACCAAUAACAGGCAACAUCAAUAGCUGAAACUUGCUUCCAGGAAGGCAGGUAAGUCUGAGUUAGAUGUCCUCCUUCUCCCAACAUAAGCAUUUUUGCAAAGUUCACCAGCCCACAGACAAAACAACACUUGCAUAUAACAAUCAAGCUUUAACAGGGAGCAGGACCAGAGUAUAAAACCUAAUUCAAAAGAAUGAGGGCUUGCUUUCUCAAUUACAUCUGUCAGUGAUGAUUCCUGUAUCUCUUGCUUACUGUGAUUGGACUCUGAUAGCUUAGAAAUGAUAGAUAGCUAUUUCUUUCCUGAUCACUUAGACGACCUACCUAUUUCUCUCCUAAUCCAUCACUUGCUCGUCCCUCUCUCAUGAAAGAUUGUCUCUCCCCUCCAGGAGGUUUUUACUCAUACGACUAUGACCAGUCGCUAAGAUGAUUCCCAUUCAAUCCUUUUCAUUCAACAGUCUAUUAAUACUGUCUUAUUUUGUUUCAAAUUCCUUUCUUUCCACUAGUUCUUACACAAGGUGAUUUGCAGGAAGUAAACAACCUUUCAAAAUCCACUCCUGAAUUCAAGUCCUUCGGUACUGGGAUUGAAGUGAAGUUCUUCCAAGUUGCCAUUUGCCCCAAUCCUUUCUUCCAACUUAGAAGUACCAACUGUAAAUAGCUUUAGCAUCUCUUGACAAGAAAACGUCUUUAAAAAUGUGGACGGAAGGUGCUCAACACCCCAGUAGUUGAAUGGAAUCACCUUGUGUUCCUAUUCUAAUCCUAAUAUAACCUUUUGCCAUUUUUUGUUAUGUAAUGAUUGGAAGUUGUCAUGAGUCAAGCAAUUUAUAUAGUAGAGUCAUGUCCUAAUUCUUUAAAAGAAUCAAAUCCAGGACUCAUGCACACAAGUCAACUCAGCCAAGCUUAAAAUCAGAAUUAUAAAGUCUAUUCCAUGGAUACUUUUUCACCACUUAACCCUAUCUAUUGGCUCCAAUGAUAAGCUCACAUUGUGAUAGGUAUAAUAGUAUUUGAAUCCUUACUUCUAAGGAUAGAUGAUGGCUUACUUCUAAAUCCAUCAGACUUACAUCUUCAAGUGUCUCAGUUUGUUAAACAAUGUACUUCAUCUUUUCCUUCUAGUAACAGCUAACAAUGGCAUAAGUACAUCAUUUCAAUGUAUCAUUAACCAACUAAUAUGUGAUUUUAGCAUUAUUUUGCACUUGUAGAUGAUACUACCAGGUGGACAAGACUAUUGAUAAGAAAUGCGCCUGAUUUUUUAUUUUUAUUUUUUUUGUUGGUUAAUCAGAAAAAACUUCAUUGAAAUGAAUUAGAAAUAGAAAGUAAAACAAAAGAUAAGAAAUCAUCCCAGAACUUAGAAGAUCUUAUCAAAACAAAAAAGAUAAUAUACAGUUUAACCAAGAAAACCAACAUGAUUUAUUUUCCAAUUUCAGUGCCAUUUAUGUCAUGUUUUAUAUACAAAUUAAUGAAGAAAAUAUGACUUCUCUAUAAACUAAAAAGGAAAAAUGCAAUAUAGAUAUAUGUUUUGUUCCCACAGUUCCAAAAGUAAAUUGGGAUAGUACAUUCCAUUAGUGGACUUAAAAGUCAAAAAUGAUAAUGUUAUCAAAGUCUUGUCUACAACACCUCAAUCAUUGCAAAAUUAUCAAACUCAAAAUAUAUGAACUGAGAAUAAGCAAGGACAGGAUUUAAGAAAUGGUGAUGGGAAAUCAAUCCUAGUCCAUGACUGGAGAAUAGAUUUCUAGGCAGCCAAUAACCCUUAAUGGGUUAUGCUCACUAGUGAAGAGAAUGAUAAUGAACAUUAAACAUGUAUGAUCAUUGGGAAAUCAAUCCUUGUUGCAAAUGUCAUGGAUGAUUCUCUCAAUCUCAAUUGCUUGAGCCUAGCCUAGGCAGGCUAUGCUCGUUCCAACAGAGAGAAAACUGUGAGCAAGUAGGGUGGUACUGAUGAAUUCAGGGACACGACAAAGUUUCAGAAUUUUCACUAGGUUUUAUAUAGCACUUAAUCCAAUUUUUGGUAGAAUGUUGACAUAAAAGUAAUUCAUUUACUAAUAGUUGUAUAGUUUGAGAAAAGUAAAGGAAGAGAAUUGGUGUGGAAUUGAGAGGAGGAAGAAGACAGUUUGAAGUAGAAUCAUAAUCAUUCAAGAUUUUGAUUUGAGCUAGUCAAAAGCAAGGUGGUCGGAGAGAUUACAGAGAGGAGUUGAGGCUUCUCAAAAUGGGUCAGAUUUGGCAAGAAGAGUUUGUCAAUUAUUGGUGGGGUGGAGGCCUGCUGUCUAAAAGAGGACCUGAGGCCUUUUAGGAAGAGCUGGAUAGAGGAUGGCAAGAAUUAUCAGUUAGAGUUGCAGAGUAAUGUUCCUAUUUUGUUUUGUGUGCUCAAUGGAGGCAAAAAGGUCUUCCCUAGUUUUCCUAGAAGGUAAGGGUAACUUCUCAAACCAAACCCUGUUCUUGCCUUCACUAAAGGCAUGGGGGUUAGGUUUAACUUGUGACUGCAAGAGAGCCUUCAUUUAGCAUUGCUAGGAUGAUCUCUCAUAUUGUUGAAGUUUGAAAAGGUCACCAAAGCAAACAAGGUUUUUUGGGAGGGGAGAAUUUUUAAGAAAAAGAGGUUGUUUGACAAGUGCAUCCCUAAGGUGGGUUGUUUAAGAGGAGUCCAUGCAGAGGAAGCUUGGGUGAGAAUUGUCGAGCUGCUGAUUUUCUUGUGGGAUAGGGAGUUUUUUAAGUAAUUGGGAUAUAUAUAUGGGUGUUUCAAGGCAAUAAAUGAAGACACCAUUUUUUUUUAAUGAGAAACAACAAUGUAGUAUAUUAAAUAAAGAUUUAAAAAAUAGAAAAGAAGGAUAAGAAAUCCUCCCAAAAACAAAGAACUAAACAAAUGGAACCUCCAAAUUACUAAGUAAACCUAUACACCAUAUGGAAAGUACACAAAACCACCUCUCCUUGCUAGCUUGCAUCUUUGGACCAACACACUGACAACCAAUCAUGUAGAACCACAUUGAGGGAAUUCCCUUAAAAGUUAUGGUGCAAGAGGCCCAAAAGGAAGCAAGGAAAUGAAUGGUUUCCAAAAGAACCUCUGAAGUACUUGCUUAGCUUAAAAAAUUCUAACAUUUCUUUCCUGUUGCACAACCUAUAUCAAAGCCAAACAAGUAGUUUGCCACAAUACCAAGCCUUUAUUGGAUCUCACAAUCCCUUGUAUGCAAUGGUCAUCAUGUUAAAAAUACUCUUAAGAGAAAUCCAGCCUAACUUAGUCAAUCUAAAUAAUUUAUGCCAAUAAAUGAAGACAUGAUGAAGCGGCGUAAUUUGCAAAUGGUGAGAGUUUUGAUUAAAACAGAUGGGAGAAGGUUACCAAAAAGCUGUAGGUUGUGGUGUCUAUCUUGUUUUGUCAUUCAUUUGUGGUGAGAGGUCCCACCAUGGCUUUCUUAGGUUAAACCAACGCCGCUUAAAAGGAGGCAAGAGGUUUGGGUAUGUCAUGCAUUGUGGAGAGCAUGGAGGUAAGAGGGUCAACACAUUCUUUUGAUGUGGGCCUCCCAAUAACAAACAAGCCCUCUACCAUUCAUAAAAGCUUGCUAACACAAGUACUAGCCAUUGUGAAAAGGUGUUGCUUCAAUAGUCAAUUGCGUAACAUGAGGAGUAAGGGUGGUUGCCAUCACACAAUAGAGAAGCUGGCUAAUGUAAAGGCAACUUUGUUGAGACCUAUUCCAAUCAACAAAGCUCUUAUGCUAGAAGCGUCAUGCUUUCCAAGUAUGGCUCCUCCCUCUCCUUCCUUUUGAUGGUACAAGGUCUCUCUUCCUUCUCUUCUAUCUAAAGGAAAGCAUUUAGAAGAAAGGGUGGAGUAAGCAACUUAGAGUGCACUUCGUUAAACCCGAUGGAGAGGAAAAUGGGACUCUACACAUGAUUUUGAUUGGUGGCACAUCAAUGGAGUCCAUUGAAAACAGCAUGAGAACCGUUAGUGAUGUGGGAGCAAAAGAGUUGGAAGUGGGGACUAUUGCAAUAAAGGAAUCCUUCCCCUUGUUGUUUUGAAAAGGAUUUCCACGCUUCGUGGGAUGCUUCAAUAAGCUCGCAUCUUUCAGCAAGUUUGUGGGAAUGCCAAUUGGUGGAUUUGAAGGAGAAAUCUUGGCUACUUAAGGAGGAUAAAGCUUAUGAAAAUGGGCAAAGUCUCCAAAAUUGGGUUAAAAAGGAAAUAUAUCUAUGGAUCUUGAUUUGAGAUGGAGCUUUGCAAGCUGAAGUGCUUCGUCAACCAUAGUUUUGCUUUAGGCAAAGUGAGGAGUGGGAAGAACAAUUAGGAAUUGAUCAAGGUUUGAUGAUCAAGCUUCGCAUUCUUUCUUGGAAUGUUAGAAGGGUUAAAUGAGGUUAAAAAUGGAAAUCAUUGAUUGAAUCACAUAUGAAAAAACCUUGUGUGUUUACAAGAAACCAAGGUCUAUUAAAUGACGGUACAAAUUUAGAGCAGUUUGGGUAUGGGCAAAUUCUUGGAACGGAGUGUUUUGUGGAAGCUAGAAGUCAGGUAAGGGAGACUUUAGUCUUUUAGGGCAAUAAGGUGUUGGAGUUAAUUGAUAUGAAGUGGGGUGCAUCCAAUCUCUUAUUGAUUCAAAAACUAUGAGGACAACUUUGUCUAGAUGUUUUUAAGAAUGCAUGGGUUAGCCCAAAAAGGGGGGAGAGAGGAAUUUUGGGUGAAAAUGGUUGAUGUAAUAUGGUUUUGGAAUGACCUUCAUGUAUUAGAGGAGACUUCAAUGUGAUAAGAUUCCUUGAGGUAAUGAGUAAAUGUUUAAGAUGCUCAACAACAAUGUGGCACUUUUCAAAGAUCACAAAGGAACUUCAUUUGAGGGACAUCUCUCUAGUUGGUGGUUCUAUAACAUGGACUAAAGGGUUAAAUAAUUGAUCCUCACCAAGGCUAGAUCAAUUCCUUGUUUCUAGAGAAAGAGGAACCACUUCAGUAGAUUAAUUCGAGUGUCCUCCCAAGACUGAUUUCCAACCUCACUCUCCCAUUUUAUUAAAUGGAGGAGGGAUAAGAAAUGGCAAAACACUCUUCAAGUUUGAAAAUAUGCGGCUGAAAGUGUAAGGGUUCAAAGACCUUGUUAGAAAUUGGUGGGUAGGAUGCAAUAUUAGCGGUUAAUAUAGCCACAUCUUAGCAUUCAAGCUAAAAGCAUUAAAACAUGAUCUAAAAUUAUGGAAUCGAGAUGUAUUUGAGCAUGUCACUUUCCAUAAAGUUACAACUUUAAAUUAGAUUAAUUUCUAGGAUGCUAAGGAAGUCUUUCUUUCAACCGAGGAGGUCGAAGCUAGGAGGACGGUAGUGGAUAAGUUUAGAAAGUGGGCAACAAUGGAAGAAGUCUUUUGGAGGAAAAAAUCAAAAGAUAUAUGACUAAAAAUGGAGAUAGAAAUACAGGAUUCCUUCAUAAAAUGGCUAAUGCUCAUUGAAGAAGAAAAUAUUUGACUAAAACUAGGGUCAAUGUAGAAAUGUUAUUAGAAGAUGUAGACAUAAAGAAAAGAACGACAAGUGCUUUAUAUAGUCUUCUUUUCGAGUUUGGAGCAUAAAGGAUGAAUCUCAAUGGGAUGUUUAAAAGUUUGAGUAUAGAAGAUUUAAAGUCCUUAGAGAAUUCAUUUUUUAAGGUGAAGGUCUAUUCAACACUCUUAGUUUGUAUAGCGAUAAAGCCCCUAGGGCUUUUUGGCAUUUUUGGGGGACUUUGUGAAAAAAUGAGGUGAUGAGAUUUUUUGCAUAGUUUUUUAAGUUAGGCUCUUUUAAAAGAAGCCUAAAUGCCACUUUUAUGGUGUUAGUCCCAAAAUGAAGGGGGUACAAAAGAUUUAAAAGACAUAGAUUAGUUAGGUGGAUGUGGGUGUGUGUGGGGGGGGGGGGGGGGGGGGGGGGUAUGUGUGUUUGCAUGAUGGGAAAAGAGGUUUCAACUUCUCAACAUGAAUGUGUAAAAGGUAGACAAAUCUUAGAUGUGGUCUACUAGAGUGCAUGAUACGCAUUAUAGGCUCAAAUCCUACAAGUUUAAGCUUUUAGAAAAAUUGGUUGUUCAACAUGGUAUUAGAGUCUCACCUAGCAAAAGGUCAUCUAUUUGAACAGCACUGCAUGUUUAUUUCCUCAAUUUAUUAAAAGCCUAAAAGAGGUUACUCUAUUGCCCACAUAUAAUCCCAAGGAUGAUUACACAUGAAGGAGAUGAAGAUUUCAUAAAUAGACUGCAAUAUAGAAGAAAAAUGACUUAUCAAAAGGAGGAAAGCUAACGUUGAUUAAAAAAAAAAAACUUUUCCUAGCCUACAAAGGGAUUUUGUUUAGGGAGAAGUGCUUUGAUGAAAAGCCAACGAAUUGGUUGAAUAGUUUGCACAGACGAGGGAGGGGUGCUUAGGUUUUGUUUAUUUUAAUAGAUAAAAAGCAAAUUAUAUUGAAAAAUGCUUGGAAAAGGCACACCAAGUACACAUGAAGUAUACAAAAUGCGCUAAAAGCAAGCAAAGGGAAAAUAGAAACAAACCAAAACCCAAUACAAAAAUAACACCCUAUAGUUCUAGAAAAACUGAUGGCACUCAUACACAUUGUUUUAAAAACCAGACCGGACCGGCCGGUCCAACCACUCAAACCGUUGACUGGUGUACUUUCCAGUUCAGUCCAUCACAAUGAACCGUUUUGUAGUCAACUUGACAUUAAACCGUUCAAACCGAUGGUCAAACCACUGAAUCGGACAAACCGUCCGAUUUUUUCCAAACCGAUCAGACCUUAAUUGUUAUAAAUAUUUGCUAACUAUUAAGAGGCCCAUUAUCCAUCGGGCCCAUUUCCAUGCCCAAUACUUAUAAAACUAAAACUAAUUAUAAGCUUAUAUUUGGUCCAGGCCACUAGAGCCCAAUCCAAUGGCAAGAAAGCUUAUAAAACUUAUAUUUGGGCCAUAUCUCCAAGCCUAAUUUGCUGGCAUGUUUGGCUUGGAUGUUGAAGGUAUUUAUAGAGCACUUAGAGCACAUAGAAUUCAUGUGCUUCCGAUGUGGGACUGGGACUAAUUAGAAGCAAAAUAUUACUUCUUGGAGGGCUAGACGGAUCUCAAAGUUUGAAGCCUUUUAACCAUUGAGCAUUGCACCAUAUUUAUUAAAUGGUGUUGUUAAAAAAUAUAUAUAAUAAGAAUCUAAGAUUAAUGUUUUUAUUUCAAAUUUUUAUCAUAUAAAAUCUUUAAAGAAAUGUAAAUGUUUAAAUUCCUAUUAAUUUUUAUAACAAUAAUUAUAAAAAAUAAUAUAAAUUAAUUAAUAGAAUAAUUUUAAAACAAUAAAAUACAAAGAUAAAAAGAUAAAAUUAAUUAUUAUAAAUUUUUUUCAUCUUAAAUAUAUCUUCAUUCUUAAAUAUUACAUAUUCUAUUUAAUAAAAUUUAAAAUAUUAAACUUCAUCAUUUAAUUUAAUAUACCAAAUAUAAAAAUCAAACAUUAUUAAAAUUUAUAAUUUUAUAUAUUUUUAAUUUUUUAUAAUUAUUUUUAAUUUUAUAUAAUAUACAAAUGAUAUAUUUAUUACAUCAUCAAUUCAAUCGCAAUACAACCGUCGAUCCGACCAGUGAACUGUGAACCGGUAAUUUUUCCAGUUCGAUAACUGGUCCGGUUGUGAAAACAUUGCUCAUACAUCCAACUUGCAGCCAACCAAAUAUGCUAACUCUUGACUGAAUAUAGCCUACAUCACUCCUCCCUAAUCUUGUAGCCACUCUUCACAACUCUAACCUAAACACUCAAAAUCCACUUUCCACCCACUCUUCUAACUCCACCCUUUUCCGCUAAAUUGAUUGUAAUUAACCGAGCUCUCUAAGUUCCAAAGCUGCCUAUCAAAACGAGAUAUAGACAAAGGUCUCCUCUUAAUACUUGAGACCCCAUUGUAUGACCAUUUCUAGCUUCGAACUUCCUUAAUAGAGAGACAACUUCCUUUUGAAAACUAUCCAUAGGCGAUCCCAAAGACUUGCUGAAGGAGAUGAAAUUCUUGAAAGAGGAGUCCAGCAUGUUCUUACUGGGGUUAUCUUUUCCUAGAGCCCCCACCUCACUACACAAAUCAAUGACCACACACUCGACAUCGUUGUAAGAAUUUUUUGAAACAUCCACUACCAGAUCCUCAUUGGAGAACAUCCACAAAGGUCCAUAACCACCUCCCUUGCUUUCUAAAGAAAACCCCUCGUCUUGUUCCUUCCAUAGAAUUACGCUCUUAGCCAAAUCCAUUAGCACACCCUCAUCUUUGAAAAUAGAAGAAGAAAAAGGAGAAAUCCCACCCCUCAACAACAAAACAAAAGACGAGGCCUUACCUGUGAAACCUUCCGCUUCACAGAAGAGAGCAACAUCAGCAUAUGGCACUUGUUCAUCAGCGAUCUGUGUUGCUGCCAAGAAGCAAAGGUUUAAGGGAAGGUUCUGGAACAUGUGUCUUUCACCUACUAGAGGAAAUGAAGCCUCUUAAAAGAACCUUUGGGCUGGCCCAUGACAAGAUCAUGUGAGCCCUCAACAGGAACUGCUCGACAUGAGGCAGAAAGGGACUAUGCCUCCAACCGAAAAGGAAUGGGCCGAAGAACAACAUGGUCGAUCCAGGUCAACAGACAAAGAGCAAGGCUUAAGGCACUCAGGGCCUCCCACCUCUUAACCUGUAGGAGAAGGAGGCCUUGAUACUGCUUGGACCACCAGCCCAACUCGAGCCAAAAAAGGAUGCCUAAAGACCAUCCCCUCAACCUACCCACUAGCCUCCAAAUAUCUGCUGCAGGCAGAAAAAGCUGCGGCAACUGAAACUUAGGCAAAGGAGGGAAGCUUGGGUAUUAGAAGUCCAUCCAACCUUAACAAGACUCUUUUUGGAUGAUAUUGAUGAUUUGUUACUGAGAGAAAUUCUUUUUGGGAGAGCCAAAAGGGCGAAGUGUAGAGAGGAGGGGAGGGGGGUGGGGGGUAUGGUGCCUAAAAGAGGUGAGGGAAAGGUAUGGAUUGAGAGCAUGACAGACUAUCAGAAGCAGGUAGGAGGAUGUUAAUUGUAGAGUCGGUUUUAGAGUGGGCAAUGGGCAGAGGGUGAAAUGGUAAUCAUUUGUGCUAUUCACACAAAGCCUUAAAACAUCUCAAGUUUGUUUAUGUGAUUCUACUAAUGGAAAUGUCAAUUCAGCAGUACAAUAGUAAAUUUAUUAACAGCAUAGACAACAUACAUACCUAUUACUUAACAUCCUACAAGCCAAUGAUAAUCACGAACGGUCAAAGUGGUAACAAGGCUAAAGAAUCAGAAUAUUAUCAAAUAGUUUCUCAUCAUGCCCACAAUGAGAAUCAGUUGAUGUCUUUUAACCAAAAGGUUAUGUUUACCUUGACUCUAGUUGGAGUGUUUCCUGACUUAGUUGUAGUUGUGCUCCCAAAGACUUCUGGAGAAUUUCCAGGCUUAGUGGUAGUUGUGCUGCAGGCAUUGUAUCUAUCCAUUUUCCUUUGCAACAAUUUCCUUAACCCCACAACUUGACAACCGCAGCAACUGAAGUUGCACAAGAACUAGACAUGGUGUAAUCGCAAUGCUGAAGCAGCUCCCAAUUCCACAAUCUCAAGAUCACAAUCGCCUAAAAGAAAACAAAUGCAAUACUAUGAGUGGGAGUUCAAAAUAUGAUCAAGCAGAUUACAUAAAAUUUGUAUUCGCAAGCAACAUCAUUUUCAAUUUAUUCCAAAACAUCCCUUUAAGUUGAUUGAUUUAUUAGCCAAUAAAAUAAUCAAUUCAACAUGAUAUGUGCGAAAUUGAAAUCAUGGUAUUAAGCAAUCAGAAUGACACAACAUCCUGGUAUCCGGCAUUGGCUUAGAGAAGGUUAGGCUACAUCUCAGAUUCUGGGUAUUUACACAUCCCAACAUCAAAACAUCACAAAGCAUCUAGCAUUGGAAAGCUCAAUAACAGUAACAUUCUAUAAUAAGAGACCAUUCUCACUGGGUUUUUCACGUGAUAUACAAUUCGAAGAACCUCUUAUGUUUCUGAAUAGAGCUUUCAUAUUUAUUUCAAAAUAUAGGAAUAAAACAUUCUGCAAUAACAUUUCCUUGAUCAUAGGAUAAAUAUUUCAGAAAAGAGUCACAAGCUUUCAUUUUGAUGGCUGCUAAUGGGUUUAACAAUAACAUGUUAAGUACGAAUUGCAGUUGACUUUGAUCUUAAUGAAUCAAACAAGAUUGGCAGUGUCUCUCUGACAGCAACACUGUUUAACAUUCACAGAAAGUGAAGAAAAGCUUAAUACUCAUCCUCUGCACCUAAGAAAUGGACAUGAAGAUGAAAGGCCCUACCAUUAUUGAAAUACAAAUGAAUUAAAGAAAGUCAAUGCAGUGUCCAAAUCCUAGAAAUUCAGGCCACAUUGAGCAUGAGAGUAGAAAAGGUGAGAAUCAGUGAAGUUAUCCAUAAUUAGUAUCUACAUUCAUCAGGAAAAAAAUUAUAAAUCAAGGGAAGUCCCAAUAAUUUGCAGUUGUGUGUUAUUUGAUGUUGACUGAGUGCAUGGUUUUGACAAUUGAACACUUAAAAAUGAACCAUGGUUCUGACUUGCUUUCAAUCCUUUAGUGAAAGAAAUGUGCUUGGAAUAUGCCUCUGACUAGACUGAUCUUUGUAACAUUGGCCAGAGAGGCCCACGCUAAUUUGGUGAUUCAAGACAUGGGUUGUUCAGCUACACUUCAAUUGCAAGUAUUCUAAGCUACUAAAUAAAUUUUGUGCUAGGAAAAGCAUCCAUCUAUAAAUGGAACAUAAAAAAUUUCUACUGCACUACGAACAAGAUCACCAUAAAAGUUGAGGGACACAAUGAAGAUUGAUGAAUCAGCACGUACCAUGUGUUAAACAACAGGUGGAUAGUGGUGUUAAGGUCAUCCUUCCAAUGCUCUUUAUUAUUUCCAACUUCUACUCUGUCUAGCCUUGGUGUAACCAAGAGGCCCUGAGAGAAAAUUUUCAUCUUAGGGAAUUCUUCCACCACCACACGUUCCAAGACUGGGAAUGAUAAUGUAUAAACCCCUGAACAGAAGCUUGUGAGGUUUGGCAAACCACAAAGCUCCAUCUCUUCCAAUUUGUAGAAAGUAAUUUCAUCUCCUGCGUUCUCUCCUUCAUUGGCAACUACUUCCUUCAUCAUAUUUGAUCUACCUAUUUUGAAUAUUUUGAGUUGCACCAGACUUUUUGCUAUCAAGGGUGGUAGAAAAUUUAUCAGACUGCAACAGUAGGAUAUGUCUAGACUUGCUAGAUUAUGGAAAGACACUGAGGAUGGCACCAAAUUCAUCAAGUUGUCACAAUCCCAUAUUUUAAGAAUCUCAAGAUUUUGAAAAUGAGGGCCUACAUUAGAAUUUUCCUUCCACAAAUAUUUCAGCUCAGGCAGAUCAUUCAGCUCUAGUUCCCUUAACCUUGCAAGUGCUCUGAAAUGAUUUUCCUCAUCAACAAGUCCCUCAAGUUGGACUACCUCUUUCACAGAACCACGGCUUCUCACAGUGAGUUUUUCCAACUUAUGUAAUCUUUGAAGCAUAGAGGAAUGACAACCAAAAUAUCUCUAUACUAUAGUCUUUAUAAGUCCAUCUUCAUUUCAUAACAUUUUCCCCUUAUGAAUUAAAACAUUUGUAGAGAUAUUCUUAAUAUUUUAUAAGGAAAUUUAAUAUUACAAUAAUAUAUCGAUUUAGGAAGUAUUUUAUAUAAUAUUCUUUACAAAAGGAAAAAGAAAAAGGAAUCUACACUAAUUAGGAAUCUAAGACACUUUCUAACAAUUUUCACCUUGGAUUAAAUUCCAUUAAGUCAAUUUUUCAUCUUUCCACUAUACACUUUUUAUAUUACAUUUUGACAAGAGAGCAAUUGAAUCCACCUUCAACUAAAAUUCUUUUUGCUAUGAUCUUGUGUGCUUUAUUCUCUUUGGUACUUCUAGAAAUCUUCAUCUUGAGCUUUGAUACUAAUUUGUUGUGCUAAUAGAAGAUUUGAUGUAAAUAUAUUAGUCUAAGAACACAAGGAUAAAACAAUUCACACAAAGGUACCCGAGGUUUUAACAUGGUUCGACCAACCAUGUCUAGAAAAUCAGAUACCACUCUUAGGUUCUUGAAACAUUCCAUGUUGCCCAACUCUUUGUAUCUACACUUGAAACCAUGAGCCCCUCACUUCGUCGGAUGUCUCUCAUUCUUCCUCACAUUUUUAUCGACCUAUAGUGUUUAUAAGCCCAUCCCCAUUUUAUAACAUUUUUUCCUCAUGACCUAUAAUAUUUAUAAAAAUAUUCCUUAUAACUUUUCUUAGUCUAUAAAGAAAUCUAAUAGUAUAAUAAUAUAUCAACUUUGGAAAUAUUAUAUACAAUAUUCUUUACAAAAAGGAAUUUAUAUUAAUUAGGAAUUUUGGACACUUUCUAGAAGUUCUUAUAGACUAAACCCAUUAAUUAGCAAAAAAAACUACAUAAGAUGAUCAACAAGGUCAUCGGUCCUGUCAUAAAUCAAGAACUUUGAGAAAACAAAUUCCAAAGGCACUUCUACUUCCAUAAUAUGCAAAGUGAAUAGACUAUGGGUCAAUCCAUGCAUUAUUCUACUUAUAAGUUAAAGGGCAUUUUUCCCUACAUGGAGUCAACAUGAUCCUUCAACGUAUCCAAUUAUAUUUCUAAUGUUGCCUUGUCUUUAAAAGACUGUAACUCCCAUUCUUGAAAUACUUGUCAUCUUCUAAAGAGGUGAGUCUACCUAGAAGGACCCUCCAUAGUGGGUGGCAUUGACAAGGUAAUCAAGGAUUAAGAAUGCCUCAUACUUAAUCGAACAUUCAACUCCUCAUUAUCGUUCAUGAAAGCUUUGUUUUGUUGCUUUAAUUGUUUAACUACUUAUCAAAAUACACUCUUUGUUGUUUCAUGUAGUCCAAGAUUUGAUGAAAGUACUCUCUUAGAUCAUGCUCAUCCCCUAGUGGUCUUUCCCUUUGCUCCAAUCUUUCUAACAUUAUUGCAUCUUUCCUACAAAAGGUAUCAAAGUGUGGGAGUUGAAUAAAAGCAACGUGUCUUUUCUUUUUCCUUUCUCUUCUACAUAUGGUCAAGCCUUAAAGGACCCAUAUCUCCACUUUCUCACCACUUUCCUAUUUCUAGGGAGUAAGAGAAUGGGAAGUUUCAUGACAAGCAAUAGUCUCAGUGUAGUACCUAGAUCAAAUCUAUAUUUCACCAUAUUCAUGUUCCAUCCUUGUCUAUUGCCAAGUAGCUUUAGAGUUAAGAUACCAUAAGAUAUACCACAAUAUCACUUUGGAAGAAACCUCAUAAAUUUGAGGGGAGUGUUAAAUUGGUUUUUUUUAUAUAAACAUUUUCAGUUCAAAAUAUCAUUCAUUUGUUAACCAUGUAAAAUUAUUUUAUAAUUUGUCCUCUAAUGUAUAAAAUUCAUAUGUUCUUGACAAAUAGUUUUCAUUUGACAAGCUUUCUUUGCAAAUUGUUACUAUUCCAUUAAUAUUAUCAAAUACACAUACUAUUAUUCUUUUAUCUCAUCUCCUCAACUCAUGAGAAAAAAGUUUAAAUAUAAUUGAAUUGUUAAAACUCCAAAUAAUUUAAUUUUAAUAUGUAAGUAUCGCUAUCGAAUUUGAUGAUAUCAUAAGCAGUAUUGAAUCAUAAGUUUGAAUAUAGAUUUCACAAAUUGUCUAUUUCAUAGUGGAUGAUUCUAGCUUGCAAAUUUUAAGCAGAAACACAUCAAACAAAACUUGAACUUUGUGCAAGGUAUGAAUUCGAAUUUCUAUCAUUCUUGGGGUUUAUACUUAUUUAGGGUUUAUUUGGGAUUGAUUUUGACAAAAGUAUUUUUAAACCUAUAACACUUUUGUUGCUAGUACUUAUAACUCUCAAUCUCAAAUUUGAUGGUCCUCAUAUGAUGAGUCCUGUAGAACCUUAAAUUUAUGUUUUUAUACCUCAAGCCCAACUGCUUCAAGCCUAACCAACUAUAAGCAAUAAUAAAUCCAUAAAUAGAGAUUUAUACUAUGAUACAAGUGGAGAUUCAUUAUGUGACUCAAAUAGUAACCAUCCAUAAUUAUGAAGAAAUUUCAAUAAUUAUGAACAAUGUGGAAAAUAUCAUACAAUCCAACAAAUCUAUAUAAACCUAAAAUAUAACCAAAUAGAUUAAGAUAGAGAGAUACAUAUUGCAUUAACAUGGUUAGAAAUCAAUCCAGCCAAAGAGUAACAUUCCCAAGAACAAAACAUGAUGUAAUCAUAAUGCUGAACCAGCUCCCAAUUCCACAAUCUCAGCCUCAACAUUACCUAAAAAACGUAAAUAAAUCAUUAUGAGCAUUUAAUAAGGUUAAAUAAAGAGAUUACAAUUACUAGUGAUUGCAAAUGGUAUAUAUAUUUAUUUAUACCAUUUGCAGUUUCAGAAUAAAGGUUUUCGGAUCUACUUUAUUUAUUUUCAAAAUACAGAAACAGAACAUUCUGCAAUAUCAUUUCCUUUGAUGAUAGGAUAGAUAUUUCAUAAAAUAGUUCAAAACAUUUCAUUUUAAUGGUUGCUAAUUGGUAUAAUAAUAAAUGUCUAAGUAUGAAUUGCGCUUGAGAAAUCUAAAAAGGUCUCACAUCAGUACAUACCAUGUGCAUUUAUAAACGAAUUAUGGAUGGUGGUAUUCGGAUCAUCCUGCCAAGGCCACUCAUCAUCUCCCACUUUUAUUCUUUCUAGCCUUGGUGUAGUCACGAGGCUUGGAGAGAACAUUUUCAUCUUGGGGCAUUCUUUCACCAGCAUCUGCUCCAAGGAUGGGAAUGAGAAUAUAUAACCACCCGAACUGAAGCUUGUGAGGUUUGGCAAAUACAGAAGCUCCAUGUGUUGCAAUUUGUAGAAAGUAAUCUCAUCUAUUGCUUCCCCUCCUUCGUUGGCAACUACUUCUUCCAUCAUAUCUGAUCUACGUAUUUUGAGUGUUUUGAGUUUUACCAAACUUUUAGCUACCGAGGGUGAUAUCAAACUUCUCAGACUACCACAAGAAUGCACAUCUAGAGUAGCUAAAUUCUGGAAAGAUACCGGGGAUGGUACCAAAUUUAUCAAACUGUCACAAUUCCACUCUUCAAGACUCUCUAGACUUUGCAAAUCAAGGCCUGAUUUGGAGUUUUCCUUCCACAAAUGCGUCAACGCGGGAAGAUCAUGCAACCUUAUUUCUCUUAACCGUCCAAGCCUCUUGGCUUGAUUUUCCUCGUCAAGUCCUUCAAGUUGGAAUACCUCUUUGACUGAACUACAUUCUACCACGUUAAGUACUUCCAGAUUAUGUAAUAUAUGAAGCAUAAAGGAAGGAAUCACAACCAAAAUAUCUCUAUUUUCACAUACAUCCAGAACUCUUAGUCUGGGAAAGCAAUCCACUGGAAGUUGGUCUGGCCAUAUUUCUGUAUCUUUGUUCUGACCCAAUGCUAAUUCCUCCAAAUUAGGGAAUGCAACCUGGGAAAUGGUUGGAAUAAAACAAAUUUGUUAUCUCAGUUAUAACUAGGAUAUGCACAUCUGCAAAGAAGUGUUGUUUUAUUUAUUUAUUCCAAGUAAAGAACAUGGAAAAAUUAAUAUAAUUUUUUAUGCUAUUUACAGAAGAUGCACUGGACAUCCACGUCCAGAGUUCUAAUUUUAUGCUGUCAUUUAGCAUCUGAGAAGUAUGAUGAUGCAAGGUGUAAGUCACUUGAAUAAAAAUGGAUUGGAAAGGUGGUUCACAAUUGUUUACUAUAAGUUGGCUGGUUAUAGAUUAAAUAAUUUUUGGAAACCAAUAAAAUUUACAAUAAAUUGCAAUAUUGGUUUGAACCAUAUACAGGGAGGAAAAAUGGAAAUCAAGGAUGCUCUCUAAAGGAAGUUGUGGAUCAAGUAGGGGCCAAUAAUUAGUUUUGGGUUCUGCAUCCACGUUUUCAUGGGUCAAGUUAUUUAAUGUAAAAUUUAAGGAAACGUGAUAACGUAAAAUUAGGAAACUCACAUGUGGGAGCAAGAAAAGGGGCAUAUCAAGAUUUCCCUCACCAUGUCUUUGUUGGAAUGUUGGAGUUUCGAAUGCAAAUACAUCGAGUUUAUGACACUCCCACACUAUUAGUUGUUCCAACAAUGGCCACUGUGAAAUAUGCGCCCCCGGGUAGAAACUCCUGAGUUGAUGUAGAUGGGAAAGAGUGAGAGAGGUUACUUUAGGGAAUACAAACGUAUUCCUUAAUGAACUGCGAUCCACAUUCACAUUUGUCCCUUCCACAUCAAAAACCGCUUCUAAUGAGCUACAAUUAUCUACUAACAAAACCUUUAGACUCUGUACCCUUUUCAGCAUACAAGAUGGAAAAAUAUUCAACAAUUGUCCACAUGAUGAUACGGUCACCUCUUCUAGUUUAGAGAAGGAAUCUUGAGGAAUUUGGUUGUGCCAUAUUUUUUUCACAUUAUCCAGUCCCCAGAUGAAUGAGAACUUCAAGCUAGGAAAUGCAACCUGCAGAGUUCAUCCCACCAUUUUGUUAUUUAUAUAUUUUGACUAACUGAAAAAAGAAAAUUAUCCAUGUGUAGGAAAACACAAUAAACUACAUCUUAAAGAAGGGUGGAGGAAAAUGUACAUGCUUAAACAAGUUGAAUUUCAUUAUCUAAAACUAUAAGAAUUUGUAAGGAAAAAAUCAAUCAAGAAAUAGCAGAGUUCCCGUAGAAUUCAUUUUAAUACAACUCUCAUACAUUUGAAAUGUUCCAAAAGAGUCGUUUGUUUGGUUUUUCCUUUUCCCAUUUUUUUAUUUAAUUGUUAAAGCAAAUUACUUUAAGCCUUAAAUAUUUUGAUUGAUUCUUAUCUAAUUGUCUUAAAAAAAAAUUAAACCACCACAAUCUCGUGUAAUUUGGAUGAGAAUGAAUUCAUUAUGAACUACAAAAACUUAUCAUACAAAAAUACUACUUAAAUACUUUUUAUUUGUUUAUAAAAAAUUCCUUUAUCUAGAUAAUAAAUUAAUAAAAAAUAAAUCCAUAAAAUUCUAUACAUUUAUCACACAACAAAAUAAAAAUAAACUACCACUAAUUCUAAUAUAUAUUUCUUAAUUAAAAAAACCCAAAACAUAAUUUACAUUCAUCUAAAUAUUCAUUAGAGUAAAUAAUUCAAUAAAUUUUGUAAAUCAAAAAAUAGAAUUUGAUAUUCUUUCCCAAAUUAAAAAUAUAAAAGUUAGUGAAUUAAUUUCAAUAAUCAAACAUAUACUUCAAUUAUAAAAGCAUCAUGCAAAGAUAUGUACAUUGUGUAGAAGUGUUAACUUAGAAAAUUUUCUAGCAUUUUUUUACUAAUAAAGUAUAAUUAGAAAUCAUUUUUAUUAUUCCAAUACAAAUUUUCAUAAUAAUUAUAUAAUUAAUUAUUAUAAAACUUUUAUAAUAUUAAUAAUUCAAAUAUUUUAGGAUAUUUGAAUAUUAUUUUUUCCAAUUAGAGUAAGAAGAAAUAUCAUAAUUAAUUUUAUAAAUAUUUUAAUAAAUACAAACUACAUUCAACGUCCACCAUUCAAACCUGAAUAAAAAUAAAUAAAUUAAACAUUUAAUUAUAUUAAACUCUAUUAUUAACCGUUAAGUUAAAUUUAGGUGAAAAAUGAAAAUAAAAAAAGAGAAACAAGAACCAGCUCAAUCUAAAUUUUCUUUAUUUUCCUCCAAUAAUUUGAUUGAUAACAAUGUUAAAAGGAAAAUUAAAAUCAUAAGAAUUAAAAAGAGAAGGAUUCUGAGAGAUAAACUAACCCUUUCAUCAAAGAGCACCGGGAAGGGGGUAUCAAGGUCUGUAUGGUGAAGCCUUUGGAGGGAAUUAUAUCCAGGGGAGAAGCUUGUGAGGUUGGGCAAAUAUAACAGUGAAAUAGAGAAUAAUUUAGGGAAUAUGAUAUUGCCUACAGGAGCAGAAGCCAUGGAAGAAGGGAAAUGAUUUUUGGAGCUGCCAUAGUUGCACAUGUGCCUCAACUUUGGUAGACCAAACAACGUCAGUUCUUCUAAUUUAGGGAGGAGCUCAACAUGCCCAUCAUCAACAUUUAGCUCUUCAAGAUCAAAUACGUGUUCCAGCUGACCACAGUUUUCCACUAUUAGUUCUUCCAAAUUCUGUAACAAACUGGGUGGGAAUAGUUUCACCAGUGACUUGCAAUUCUCCAACUUGAGAGAUCGGAGGUUGCCCCCCAAGGAAAGCAGACGUUGGCCAUCCCUGAUCUCCUGUAACAUAGAUGUAUUGCAUUGUAUACAUAAAAUUGCAGCAAUUAAUAUAGAGUGAAAAUAAAUCAUGAUGAUAAUAUGUUUGUCAAAUUAAAAAAAGCAGUCUAUUAAUUAUAUUCAAUCAAUGCUCUGUUUUGAUUGGUGACGUUUUAUCUUUGCUGGUAAAGUCUCAUCAUGAGGGGAUUCUUGCUGACUCAAAUCAAUUAAUGAGGGGCAAGUCUCCAAGUAUUUGAAUUGAAGUGAUUAAAAAGGCAUUGACCAGAUAGAAAGGAUUAUCAAGGUUUGACAUACCGGUUGGUUGAGAGGUGGUGUACUAGGACCAACAAUUGUGCUUGUAGGCUUCGAAAGCACCGGGUUCUCCUCAAAGCAAAAAUUACUGAGCUUGGGUAAGUCCUGUAAUGUCAAGUGUCUCAAUUCAGGGAAUAGAGGCACAUUAACAGUAUCUUCUUUUAUUUCUUUCCUUCCUUGGGAAACCAUCUCAACCAUACUCUCGCAUCUAGUUACUUUUAUUUCUACAAGUCGGGAAAGGCAUCUAGCCACAGACAACGAGAAGAGAAAUUUCAAUCCAUCGCAAUCUUUCACUUCCACUUUUCUCAAGCAACCAAAGGACCCUGCUGGAAAUUGGCCACGACAUACUUCUUGCAAGUUAAUCAGCUGAUUGAGAGACAAGGUCUCCAUAACAGGAAAGGCACCAUGUGAUGGAGUCAGAUCCAUCGAGUUCACAAUAUAUUGAAUCUCUGGACUGCUUUCGACAUUGAGAUGCUUUAAUUUUAAAAAACCCUCCCCAUCUAAUUUGGAAAGAACAUUAGUACCACCACACAAUUCAUGCAAGUGUAGAUCUUCGGUUCUCUUCAACAACUUGAUGAUACCAUCCACCAGAUGGAGGCUUGUAUCUAACUUGUUGAGCUUCAAUGUUUUAUUAGUUUCAAAAAUUUCUCUCCAGCUCCAGACAUCACCUACAAAUAUUCUAUAUCUCACCAAGUUAUCAAAGACUAUGUCUUUUGGCAGCAACUUGGCAUCUCGUAUUUGUAUGUCCAAAGAGGUUAAAUGAGACAAAUGCUUCAACUCAGCAAGGCAAGCAUUACUCUUUCCUUCCCCCUCCCAUUGAGUAAAGCUAUUUGCCAUACACAAAUUCUCUAAUUGGGACAAGCUUGAUAUGACACCUGAUGGAAUUACUUUUAGUUUCGAAGAACCGCUCAAAUCUAACAGCCUUAAAUGAGUCAACUGUGCUAUUUCUCUGGGCAACUGUUCCAUAUCAGAAUCUAUAAGGCUAAGAAUUUCUAAUUUCUUUAGCUUUGCAAUUAUAACAAUGUCUCCCACCUUGCAUCCAUUCAAACACAAUGUUCGAAGAUUUGUAAGGCAGUGAAGUGAUAAGGGCAGUGAUGGAAGUUGCAUUCGAGAUAAAUCUAAUACUUUGAGUUGCUUCAUCUCUUCAAAAAAUUUGUUUGGGAUUUGCACUGCCAAAUUGGUGUUUACAUCAUAACAUCCAAAAAGUUCAAGUUUUGGACAUACCAGCCCUUCUGGAAGUUCACGAAUAUCACAGUCAUGCAGACUUACCGAGGUGACCUUCUGGAGUUCAUCUAUCCUUGGCCAUCCUUCCACUCUUACAGUAGUAUUCUGGAGUGUAAACACAUGAUGUUGAUCGGAUGCAAUUUUUCUGGCAGUACUCCGAACAAGAUCAUGCAUUCUAACAACUGCAUUAUGGCCAGUUUCUAGUAACAAAUUUGAGGAUUUGAGGGUUUCAACCAAUGUAUCUAUUCUAUUUUUUGCCUCUUCCAAUGUAUUAGUUCCUUGAAAUAAUCGCAGACCCACACCAUAUUUCAGCAAGUCCCAUAUAUGAAUAUCAUUUUGAGAAAUUAAACCACAAAGCAAGAAAAAUGACUUCACUUCAACUCCCUUCAAGUGUUCGUAGCUCAACUUCAGACUUGAGUAUACAUUUGCUGUCAGUCCUGUUAUGUUUGUCGAGGUUUGUGAUUUCAGUUGUAGUCGAGCAUCCUCCCAAAUGGACACACUCUUCUUGCCUUUCAAUGCCGUUGCCACAGUUACUAUUGCAAGUGGCAAACCCGCACAUUCUUUUGCUACAUCAACAGCUAUAGGUUGCAACUCUGGAUUUUCAAUGGAACCAGCUGUGUUCUUAAAUAAAAUCCAUGUUUCAUCUUCUUGCAAAGGUUGAACUCGAAAAUCCUUUUGAGUAUCCAUCUCACUGGACAAGAUGUGUUCAUUUCUAGAAGUUAGCACUAAUUUGCAUCCUUUGUGGUGAUCUGGAGAAGGAAUUCCUAUUUUCUCCAAGUCAAGUUUCGCCCAAAUAUCAUCCAAGAUGAUGAGGAUGGUCUUCUCCUCGUUCAUCCUCUGAUAUAGUCGAGCUGCUCUUCCCUGUUCACUCUCCUCCUCAAAUUUCAUACCUAGCAGGUCUGCAAGUUCCCCUUGAAUUUUUUUUAAGUCUGGAGUCUGUAACACAGCUGCCUUGACCACCUUGUCGAAUAACUUCUCUUGAGCAGCUUGUUCAGCCACUUGUUUCACCAGCGUGGUCUUCCCGACACCGCCCAACCCCCAUACCCCGAUCUUGUUGAUCUUGGCAUCCCUUAAGGCCUCCAUGACUUCAUCCAAAGUCAACACUCUUGAUCGUAAAGCUUCGGAAGGUGCAGACCUUAUCUCUUGCUGAGGGGCACGAUAUGAUACCCUCUCAAAUUGGCCAUCUCCAUGGAUUUGAACAGCAACCCCUGCCUUCUUCCUUGCUUCCCUGCUUAGCUGGUACCGGGACUUCAAAUUAGGACACAACCCUUUGAAACAACUCUUCCGCGCCUCCUUCUCAUCUUCAAGGAAUUUGCAAACAUUUUGUAUGAACCCAUCAGCACGUGUCAUCCAAUUGCAAACAUCAUCCUCGAUUUUAUGUCCAUUCCUAAUAGCUUCAUCCACAGAGUGCUGCUGCCUAGCCCUGGCAUCCCUCAGCUUCUCAACCUUUUGAGAGAGAUCCUCAAUGUUGGUACGGUAAUUAGACAGAUAACCCAGCUGACGUACAACUGAAUCAACCAGGUACUCUGAAACUUUUGCUGCAACCGAAACAACAAUUUCUACCAUUUUCUACCUGCUACUCCUUUCUUCUCUUUUGGAACACGAUCAGAUCGAUGACAGAAAACCAAAAAAAACAGCAGCAGUAAACUAACAACAGGCUGCUAGCUACGGGAAUCGGUGUCGCAAAAACAGAAAUCAAGGAAAUUGAAAGGUUUAGCAAGCAAAGGAGCAGAGCGACAUAGACAUAUGGGCAAAAUGAGAAUGAAAUGAGUAGAGAAGAUCAGAAUGAGUAUGAGGGUGGGGAGAGUUGCAAACGAUCUGGCAAAGGGCUAUGGAGGGGAAUAGAGAGAAAAAGCAUAUGGCUGCUAUUGGAUUCAACUUGAAGAACAGAAGCAGAGAUGUUAAGGCUGAUGAUGUGAGAAAGGAAACAAGUAAAUGAAAGAUUUCAGCAAUCAAAUGUGAAGAAAGCUCUCACCCAGCAAAAUGAAAAUGAAAAUCCCUAGCGAGAAUGAGGAUGAAAAUGUAGAGUCACGAGACGAAGCUCGUACAAGGCCCUCAAUCAUUCAAAGUUGAAACAGAAACCCAAACCAGGUCAUCAAUUGUGUUUUGAAUUACUGAUUAGAGUAAAAAUCAAAAUCAAAAUCAAAAUUCAUUUUUAUAAAAACAAAAACUCAUCCUUCUUAACUUAUUCUUAUUAUUUGAAUGUAUAUCAAAUAUUUGAUGAGUAUGUUAUCAUAUUUGCAGUUUCUAAUAAUAAAUUGAUAUCUUUGAAUAUUUGGGUUAACCAAAGUAUAAUUGGUUUAAGGUUUUAUUGGCAUCAUGAAAAAGUUGAAAAAUAAUAGAAAACCAAAAGGUAAAAAAUUAUAAAAUAUAAAAUUAAAAUAUUCUAAAAGAAAAUUCUAUAUAAUAAAGAUUAUUUAAAUGUUUAUACAUUUUUAAUCUUUUCAUAAUUUAUUUAAAAAGAAGUAAGAAAAGAAAGUUACACUCACAGUGUUUUUCCUUUUCUCAUAAUUUAUUUAAAUAUUUCAAGAUCCAAAAAAGAAUAAAUAGUCAAAAUUGUAUUAAUUGGUUUAUCAUCUAAGUAUGAAAAAAAAAUCAAAUAUAAUAAAAAUUAAUUUAAAAAUUAAACAUUUUCAAAAUUUUAUUUUUUUGUAAAUAAAAUAAAAAAUAAAUAUAAUAAAACCUUGAUAAAUAAAUUCUCUAUCAAUUAAUAAUCUUAUUUAAAUAAUAAAAUCUUUAAUCCAAUCGGAUUGGUUUAUUAAAUAAAUAAACUACCAAAUAGAUUGGUUAAUGAAAUUUAAAAAAAAAUCUUAAGCGACCAUGUAUAGAAAAUCAAGAAGACAACCUCUUAUACUUGUCAAAUUUUAUUAAAUUUUUUUGAAGUUUAUUAAUUUUUUUGUUAUUUUUUGUUGAUAAAAAAUUUAGAGGGAAAAAUAAAAUGAAAGAAAAAAAAAAUAAUAAAUUAGUUUUAUAUAUUAUUUCACAUUUAUCUAAUUAAAAUUUAACUUUUUAUAUCAAAAUUAAAUAAUUUUAAAAUAUAUGAGUUUUAAAUCAAUUUUAUAUUAUAUUUUAUAGUAAAAUUAAAUAUGGAAAUAAUAUUUUUUAUUAAUUUUUUAAAACCGUAUUAGUUUAUGAAUAUUAAGAGAGGGAGAGAGUCCUAUCCAAUAGGCAUUGUUAGAGAGAAUAUGACAUGGUCCUGUCAUAAAAAAAGAAAAGGACGGAAAAUGACAGGGUUUAUCGUAUCAAAGAAAAAAAAUCAUACCAAUAAAUUUUGAGUUAGAAAUCGGGGUAAAAGGGGUUACUUCGAAGAAACUUUACAAUCUCAUAUAUGUAUAAAUGUUUGUUGAACUUUUUGUAAGUAAUUUUCAUAUUAAAUAAAUAAACUACUAAAUAAAUAGAUAAGUUAACAAAUUUUUUAGAAAUCCUUAAGUGACACUAUCUAUAGAAAAUUAUGAGGACACCAUUUUAUACUUGUUACGUUUUAUUAAAAUUUUCAAAGUUUAUUAAUUUUAGGUUUUUUCUAUUUGUGACAAUUUUAAAGGAAAUAAAAUAAAGAGUAAAAAUAGGAAGAAAGUAAAAAAUAAAAAAUAAAAAAAUAAAUUAUUUUUAUAUAUUAUUUCAACUUUUUAUAUAAAGAUUAAAUAAUUUUAAAAUAUAUUAGUUUUAAUAAAUUUUAAUUAUAUUUAAUUUUCUAUUACAUUUUUUUAUGGUAAAAUCAAAUAUGAAAAAUAUUUUUUUUAUUGGUUUUCUAAAAGUUUAUUAGGGUGUGUUUGACACUAUUUUUAUUCGAAAUGUUUUUAUGUAAUUUUUUUUUAAAGUAUUUUUAGAAGAAUCACUUAUCAAAUGUUUUUUCAAAAAAACUUUACAAGUGAUUUUUUUAAUUUUUUAAAAGUGUUUCCUAAAUUUUGAAAAAUGUUUUUUUUUUUCUAAAAACACUUUUUAUGCUAAGAAACACUUUUAUGCUAAAAAUGGUUUUAAAAAACACUUUUAUGUUAAAAGCAUUUUUUCAAAACAUUGCAAUACGAACUCUUAGUUUAUGAAUAUUGAGAGAGAGUCUUAUCCUACCAAAAAGAAAAUGAGAAAAAUGACAUAUUCCUAUCAUAUCAAAAGGAAAAAUAAAAAGAGAAAAUGACAUUGUUGGAGAAAGAGACCACAACAAUAAUUCAUAUUGAGAGAUAUUGAGUUGAAAAUCAAUCUCUAUACAAAAAAAAAAAAAAAAAAAAAAAAAGAGAUAGAGAGAAAAAAAUGACAUUGUUGGAGAAAGGGUCCAUAGCAAUAAUUCAUACUGAUGGAUAUUGAGUUAAUCAUUCUCUUAGGCACAAAGGAGGCUCCAAAAUAAAAAAUAAAAUGACAUUGUUAGAGAAAGUGCAAUAAUUCAUACUAAUAGAUAUUGAGUUGAAAAGCAAUCUUUUAGGCACAAAGGAGGCUCCAAAAGAAAAAAAAAUGACAUUGUUGGAGAAAGGGAUCCACAGUAAUAAUUCCUAUUGAUAGGGAAAAAAAAUGACAUUGUUGGAAUAGAUAUUGAGUUGAAAAUCAAUCUUUUAGUCACAAAGGAAGCUUGAAAAAAAUAAUUCAAAUGACAUUGUUGGAGAAAGGGGUUCACAACAAUAAUUCAUACUAAUAGAUAAUGAAUUGGAAACCAAUCUCUUUGGCAUAAAGGAGCCCCCAAAAAAGAAAAACAAAAAACAAAACAAAAUGACAAAAUAACAUUGUUGGAGAAAAAAAAUAAAAAAAGAGAGAAAAUGACACCGCCGGAAAAGGACCCACAACAAUAAUUCAUAUCAAUAGAUGUUGAGUUGAAAACCAAUCUCUUUCUCCCAAAGGAGGCUCCAAAAGAGAAAAAUAAAACAAAACAAAAAUGACAUUGUUGGAUAAAGAGGUCCACAAUAAUAAUUCAUACUAAUACUUAUUGAGUUGGAAACCAAUUUCUUUCACACAAAGAAGGCUCCAAAAGAGAAAACAAAAAACAAAAAGAUUAAAACAAAACAAAAAAAAAAACAAAAAAAAUGACAUUGUUGAAGAAAGGGAUCCACAACAAUAAUUCAUACCAAUAAAUAUUGAGUUGAAAAUCAAUCUAUUUCUCACAAAAAAGGCUCCAAAAGAGAAAAACAAAAUAAAACAAAAAUGAUAUUGUUGGAGAAAGAGGUACACAACAAUAAUUCAUAUUAAUACAUAUUGAGUUGGAAACCGAUUUCUUUAGCACAAAGGAGGCUCCAAAAAAGAAAACAAAAUAAAAAUAAAAAUAAAAUAAAAUAACAUUGUUGGAGAAAGGGAUCCACAACAAUAAUCCAUACUAAUACAUAUUAAGUUGAAAACCAAUCUCUUUCUCACAAAGGAGGCUCCAAAAGAGAAAAACAAAAAAAAAACAAAAGAAAAAUGACAUUGUUGGAGAAAGAGGUCCACAACAAUAAUUCAUACUGAUACAGAUUGAGUUGGACACCAAUUUCUUUGGCACAAAGGAGGCUUCAAAAGAGAAAAACAAUAGACAAAAAGACAAAAAAAAAAAAUGACAAUAUUGUUGGAGAAAGGGAUCCACAACAAUAAUUAAUGCCAAUAAAUAUUAAGUUGAAAACCAAUCUCUUUCUCCCAAAGGAGGCUCCAAAAGAGAAAAACAAAACAAAAAUGAUAUUGUUGGAGAAAAAGGUUCACAACAAUAAUUCAUACUAAUACAUAUUGAGUUGGAAACCAAUUUCUUUAGCACAAAAGAGGCUCCAAAAGAAAAAACAAAAAGCAUAAAAAAAAAAUGACAUUGUUGGAGAUAGGGAUCCACAACAAUAAUCCAUACUAAUAGAUAUUGAGUUGAAAACAAAUCUCUUUCUCACAAAGAAGGCUCCAAAAGACAAAAACAAAACAAAACAAAAAUAACAUUGUUGGAGAAAGAGGUCCACAAGAAUAAUUCAUACUAAUACAUAAUGAGUUGGAAACCAAUUUCUUUCGCACAAAGGAGGCUCCAAAAGAGAAAAAAAACAAAAAAAAAAAAACAAAACAAAACAAAAAAAGACAAAAAAAAAUUACAUUAUUGGAAAAAUGGAUCCACAACAAUAAUUCAUACAAAUAAAAAUUGAGUUGAAAACCAAUCUCUUUCUUACAAAUGAGGCUCCAAAAGAUAAAAACAAAACAAAAAUGAUGUUGUUAGAGAAAGAGGUCCACAAAAAUAAUUCAUACUAAUACAUAUGGAGUUGGAAACCAAUUUUUUUUAGCACAAAGGGGGCUUCAAAAGAGAAAACAAAAAGACAAAACAAAAAAAGAAAAAAAAAAUCACAUUGUUGGAGAAAGGGAUCGACAACAGUAAUCCAUACUAAUAGAUAUUGAGUUGAAAACCAAUCUAUUUAUCACAAAGGAGGCUCCAAAAGAAUAAAAUAAAACAAAACAAAACAAAAAUGACAUUGUUAGAGAAAGAGUUCUACAACAAUAAUUCAUACUAAUAAAUAUUGAGUUGGAAACCAAUUUCUUUGGCACAAAGGAGACUUCAAAAGAGAAAAACAAUAGACAGAAAGAAUAAAAGAAAAGAAAAAGGAAAAAAUGACAAUAUUGUUGGAGAAAGGGAUCCAUAACAAUAAUUUAUACCAAUAAAUGUUGAGUUGAAAAUCAAUCUUUUUCUCACGUUGGAGGCUCCAAAAGAGAAACAAAAUAAAACAAAAAUGAUAUUGUUGGAAAAAGAGGUCUACAACAAUAAUUCAUACUAAUACAUAUUGAGUUGGAAACCAAUUUCUUUAGCACAAAAGAGACUCCAAAAAAGAAAAAAAAAAUAAAAUAACAUUGUUGGAGAAAGGGAUCCACAACAAUAAUCCAUACUAAUAGAUAUUGAGUUGAAAACCAAUCUCUUUCUCACAAAGGAGGCUCCAAAAGAGAAAAACAAAAUAAAACAAAACAAAACAAAAAUGGCAUUUUUGGAGAAAGAGGUCCACAACAAUAAUUCAUACUAAUACAUAUUGAGUUGGAAACCAAUUUCUUUAGCACAAAAGAGGCUCCAAAAGAGAAAAAAAAAAUUACAUUGUUGGAAAAAUGAAUCCACAACAAUCAUUCAUACCAAUAAAUAUUGAGUUGAAAACCAAUCUCUUUCUUACAAAGGGGGCUCCAAAAGAGAAAACAAAAAGAGAAAACAAAAAAAGAAAAAAAAAUCACAUUGUUGGAGAAAGGGAUCAACAACAGUAAUCCAUACUAAUAGAUAUUGAGUUGAAAACCAAUCUAUUUAUCACAAAGGAGGCUCCAAAAGAGUAAAAUAAAACAAAACAAAACAAAAAUGACAUUGUUAGAGAAAGAGGUCUACAACAAUAAUUCAUACUAAGAAAUAUUGAGUUGGAAAUUAAUUUCUUUGGCACAAAGGAGACUCCAAAAGACAAAAACAAAAGACAAAAAAAAUAAAAAAAAAUAGAGAGAGAAAAUGACAUUGUUGGAGAAAGGGAUCCACAACAAUAAUUCAUACCAAUAGAUAUUGAGCUUAAAAUCAAUUUCUUUCUCACAAAGGAGGCUCCAAAAGAGAAAAAUAAAACAAAACAAAAAUGACAUUGUUGGAGAAAGAGGUUCACAACAAUAAUUCAUACUAAUACAUAUUGAGUUGGAAACGAAUUUGUUUGGCACAAAGGAGACUUCAAAAGAGAAAAAAAAAUAGAUAGAAAGACAAAAAAAAAAAAAAAAUGACAAUAUUGUUGGAGAAAGUGAUCCACAACAAUAAUUCAUGCCAAUAAAUAUUAAGUUGAAAACAAAUCUCUUUCUCCCAAAGGAGGCUCCAAAAGAGAAAAACAAAAAUGAUAUUAUUGGAGAAAGAGGUCUACAACAAUAAUUCGUACUAAUACAUAUUGAGUUGGAAACCAAUUUCUUUAGCACAAAAGAGACUCCAAAAGAAAAAACAAAAAACAAAAAGACAAAACAAAAAGCAUAAAAAAAAUGACAUUGUUGGAGAAAGGGAUCCACAACAAUAAUUCAUACUAAUAGAUAUUGAGUUGAAAACCAAUCUCAUAAAGGAGGCUCCAAAAGAGAAACAAAAUAACACAAAACAAAACAAAAACGACAUUGUUGGAGAAAGAAGUCUACAACAAUAAUUCAUAUUAAUACAUAUUGAGUUGGAAACCAAUUUGUUUAGCACAAAGGAGGCUCCAAAAGAGAAAACAAAAAGACAAAACAAAAAAAAAAAAGAAAAAAAAAUGACAUUGUUGGAGAAAGGGAUCCACAAUAAUGAUCCAUACUAAUAAAUAUUGAGUUGAAAACCAAUCUCUUUCUCACAAAGGAGGCUCCAAAAGAGAACAACAAAACAAAAAUGACAUUGUUAGAGAAAGGGAUCCACAACAAUAAUUCAUACCAAUAGAUAUUGAGUUGAAAACCAAUCUCUUUCUCACAAAGGAGGCUUCAAAAGAGAAAAAUAAAACAAAACAAAAAGGACAUUGUUAGAGAAAGAGGUUCACAAGAAUAAUUCAUACUAAUACAUAUUGAGUUGGAAACCAAUUUCUUUGGCACAAAGGAGGCUCUAAAAGAAAAAAAAAAAAAAAAAAAAACCAAACAAAAAAAAAAAAAAAUGGCAUUGUUGGAGAAAGGGAUCCACAACAAUAAUUCAUACUAAUAGACAUUGAGUUGGAAACAAAUCUCUUUGGCACAAAGGAGGCUUUGAAAGAGAAAAAAAUAAUAAUAAUAAUAGAAAAUGACAUUUUUGGAGAAAGGGUUCCACAAUAAUAAUUCAUAUUGAUAGGUAUUAAGUUAGAAACCAAUCUCUUUAGCACAAAGGAGGCUCCAAAAACCAUCUUUAUUUAUUAGAAUUUUUGAAAAUCUUUGUACUACUUUAGCAAGAGGAAGAAUGAAGGUUGAUGAUAUAUAUUUUAUUUACAUCAAUGCGUAAUUCAAUUACUGGUACUUGAUAUUUGAUUACACAAAAGUAUUGUUUGAUUUAUUAAAAAUAAAAAACAUUACAUAAAAAAUAAAGGAAGAAAUAAAUUUGAAGAAUCAUAUAAAUUUUGUCAAUUUCAAACCUAAUUUUAUUGAUUUUUAUUUUCUUUUAUAUUUUGUUUUGAUUUUAAUUUUUCUCAAAUUAUUUUAAAAUCUAAAUAAAUUCAAAAGACUUUCUAAGAAAAACCCAUUAUGUUAUUAGCUUAUGUUUGAUAUUUAGUACAUGCUAAGAAAAAGGGGAAAAUGUUAAAAAUAUGAUUUUCUCAUAUUUAAUUUUACCAUGAAAAAUAUAUUAAAAAAUUAAAUAUAAUUAUAAUUAGUUGAAAACUCAUGUUUUUUUAAAUCAUUUAAUUUUUAUGUAGAAGAGUUAAAAUAAGUGGUCAGAUAUAACAUAUAAAGCAUAGAAAAAAUCAUGUAUAAGUUUAAAUCUAUUUUUUUUUUAUUUUUCUACAUUUUUUCCCUCUCAUUUUCCCUCAAAGUUUUUAGGAAUCAAACAUAGUCUUAAGGAAAGAAAAUAUUAAAGAAAUGAUUUUUUUCAUGUUUGAUUAUACAGUAGAAAAUACCAAAGAAAAUGAAAUAUAAUUAAAUUUAGGUAAAAAGUCAUCUAUUUUCAAACUAUUUAAUAUCUAUAUAGAUUAAGAGUUAAAACAAGUGAAAUAAAUUUGAUUUUUCACUUUUAUUUCCUUUUACUUUUCUUCUCUAUUUUUUUCCUCUUAAAUUUUAAAGAAAAUAAACAUAACCUAAAAGAUAAAAGGAAAAUAUUUUUUAGGCAAAAUGAGACCAUCUAUUGUCCAAAAUGAAAAUCCAAAGGUAGCCAUUGCAAGAGUCUUCUUGCAUAAAACUUAGAAUAUACAAAUAAGGAUUUGGAGUACAUAAGAUGUAAUAAGUUGUCCCCAAUUUGUAAUUUUAUACACACACAUAGAGACACACACACAAAAACACACACGUCUAACACACAAAAAAAAAAUGUUAAAAAUUUUAAGUGUUAGAAAGAUUGUAAGGGCUUAAAAUCACUACUAAAUGAAUUCAACCAAUGCUUUGAGGCAAAGUCCUUCUCACAAUGGAAAAUGGAUCCAAAGAAAUGUCCUAUGUAAUUAGAAUUUCUUUUAGUACGUGACCUAACGUCACAUAACAUCAUAUAGCAAAUUAAAGUUAGAAACAAAACCCUAAUUCUUUAAAAUAUCUCAAGUUUUCUGGGUCGCGUAUAUUUCUUAAACGUGAUGUUUGAUUAUCAGAAAGUAUUAAAGAAAGAAGAAAAAUAUUAAAGAAAUUAUAUAUAUAAAUGGGUUUCAUGUUGGAUAUAGAAAAAAUAAAAUAUAAUUAAAAUUAGUUAGAAAUUUACAUAUUUUAAAAUUAUUUAGACUAUGUUCAAUUUCUAAAAAAUUUAAGAAAAAAUAUGAAGGAAAAAAAUAAAAAGGAAAGUGAAUGAAAAGAAAAAUGAGGAAAAAAAAGAUUUAAAAUUAAUAAAUUAUUUUUUAUAUACUACAUAAAAAGGCUUCUGCAAAUAGAAAAACAAAUACCUCUCUACACCAAAAUGAAAAUGGAGAAUAGGAGUUGCACUGUAGAGAGUCUAGAAAGAAAGGUCAAACCAUGCAUCUCUACCAUUGAAAGUUCAACCUAAAGCAAAACCCACUCUUGGAUUGUGUUUUCAUUUGUCAAUUAGAUUAGGGUAUACUUGAAAGUUUGAUUUACCAUGAUGUUAAACAGAGAUAUAAUAAAAAUUAAUUAAAAUUUCAAACAUUUUAAAUUAUUUAUUCUUUGUAUAAAAGAUAAAAAAGAAAAGAAAAGGAAAAUAGGUUUUAAAAAUUAGAAAAAUUUAUUAAAUUUAAUCUAAUUUUUUAAUUUUAUUUUUCACAUUUUCCUUCUUAUUUUCUUUCUUACCUUUUUUUCAAUUUGAAUAAAGUUAGAAAAAAAAAAAAGGUUUAGUAUAUGUGUAAGAAAAAAGUAGGAAAAAUGAAAAUUGAAGGAAGAAGGUACUUGUAGUCUAAGCAAAAUGUUUAUGAGUCAAUUUUUAAAGCUUGGUGUAUUUUAGCAAUGGAAGUUGUGAUUUUUAUUACUACCUUUAGAACUUUAUACAAAAAUAUAGAUGAUUUAUAUAAGGAAAAGAAUAAAGAAUAUUCCUAACAUAUAUAUAAAAUAUCCUAAAAUUAAGAUAAUCAAAUACUGUGAGAAUUAAAUAUUGUUAAUAUUUGAUUUCUCUAGAUUUGUGGGAACAAUGAUCGAAAGUGUAUUCCUAUCCUUUAUGCAUUUGAUUUUGUGUAUCUCCUUAAAUAUUUCCUUUAGCAUGUCUCCUCAAGCUAGAAUAGGAAUGGAUAUAGACGUCUAGCAUAUCUAGAAACAUAGUGAAGACAUCCUUUAAUAAAAAUUUGAUAAAAAUAUCAGCAAGUUGAAAAUGUGUGAAAACAUGGUAAGUAACAAGAGUGCCCAUAGUCACCAUCUCUUGUACAAAAUGAUAAUCAAGCUCAAUAUGUUUAGAAUGGACAUGAAACAUAGGAUUAACGAACAUGUAAAAUAGCAUUAUCACAAAAUAAUUGUGGUGGUUCAAAGAGGGGCAUACCGAUAUUUUGUAAGAGAAGUAAUCCAAGUCAACUCGAUAGUAGAAAAAGCCAAAGAGCAAUACUCUACCUCGAUGCUUGAGUGAGCAAUUUUUGGUUGUUUUUUGAAUAUCAAGAGAUGCAAUUUGCUCUAAUGAAGACAUAAUAACCCAUGGUGCUCCUUCUUGUAGUGGGACAACUUGCCCAAUCAACAUUGCUAAACCCAUAAAGAGAUAUUUAGACCAAUGGAAAGAUAACAUAAACCAAAGUGUUAAGUUCCCUUAAGUUAUCUUAAGAUAUGUUUUAAGCCUUCAAGUGAGUCACAAUAAGGUUAAUAAAAUACUAACAUACUCGAUUAACUGUAUGAAUAAUAUCACUUUCCCCUAUGUUAAACAUGUUUGUUUCCUACAACAUUUAUUGCCUAUAAUAGGAAGAUGAUAUCGAGUAAAUAAACUUAAUAACUUAAUAUGAUUUAAUAAUUUAAUUUAAGUCAUUAAGUAGAAUAUGAAUGUUUGGUAAAAUAACUUAUAUUACAACUUAAAGUUAUUUUAAACUUUAAGUAUGAAGUCCAAAUAAUUAACUUAGUGGGUGUUUGCUAAAAUUUAAUAUUUAUUACUUAAUGACUUAAAUUGACUAUAAGUGAAAUUAUUUUUAAGUUGUUAACAUAAAACUUAUUACUUAUUUUUUAUUUAAGAAUCAAGGUUAUUUGGUAAAGUUAACUUAAAACUUAUUUUAAAUCAUCAAAUUUACACAUUUACUCUCACUAAUUUUGACUAAUAUUUAUCCUCAUUGAUUUUAAUUCAUAUUGAUUUUUAUUAAUUUUAAUAAAUAAAUUUAUUUAUGAAACAUCCAUAUUUAAAGUAUUGUAGAUAUAUGAGAUAACCAUAAAAUAUUUAUUAUAAAAAUUGAGUCAUAGAUGUAGAAUCAUAAUUAUUAAAUAUAUUCUUAUUAGUAUGGGCAAAUGAGACAAAAAGAAUUUAAGAUAAAGAAGGAUGUAUGGUAUAUCAACUUAAUGACUUAAUAUGACUUAAUAACUUAAUUUAAGUCAUCAAGUGGAUUAAUAAUGUUUGGUAAAAUAACAUAAUAUUGUAACUUAAGGUUAUUUUUAACUUCAAAUAUUAAGUAAAAAAGAAUAAAUGGAAUUCUCUUAAAAAGGAUUGACAACUUUAACAUGCUUUGAUUGGGAAAAAUAUUGACCUUAGUGGAAUCUUAUGAGGCAAAAUAUGAAUGCUUGAAACGAGUGAUGGGAUAAGAAACUGAAGGUGCAUUUUUAUUUAUUUAUUAAGUCUAUUCGAUUAAUUAAUUUGGAUGUUGGUUGUAAAAUAUAAUAAAUUGAAUACUUUUGUCAAACCCUGAAGCAAUGAUGUUUAAGACAAAGGGUUUUACAAUAUUGAGCAAUUCAUGGGCAUACUUUCAAAGAUAUUAUUGUUAUUGGUGAAGGAGUUUGGUACCAUCACAAGACUUUGUAGGUUAUGAUGUUGAUGGUCCAUCUAAAGUGGAGGAACACGAGGACAAUUUAGUAAAAGGCUAAGGGGACUCUAGUUGUAUUCGUUGCUUAAUAAUAUUUUCCAUAAUUUUGAAGCCAGUGCCUAACGAAUUGUUAAAAAAAAAAAAAAAAAAGUGAGAAGAAAUAUGAAAUAGAUAGAACCAAAACUGAGGUUAUGGCUAUGUAAUUAAAGCAUUUAUAGUGUUGUAGAGGUCUUCUAUCAUAGGGCAAAUAAGCCUGGCUAUAGCAUUACUGAAAUAAUGAAAAAUUAUACAUGUCAUGCCUAAAAUGAACAAUGACGUUGAGUUGUAUAUGAAAGUCAAAGAGAUCCUUGUUGUCAAAUAAAAUAGAGAGAUGUUUGUUGCAUUGGAAGACCUAGCUAAUGAGAUUGCAUGGCUUUGACUGUUAGAGUUGUUUCUUGUUCUAAUGUUGAUUUUGUUACUUAAUAUUGUUUUAGAUUUGAUUAGUUUGUUUCUAUUGAGUAAUAUUUUCGAACGUAAGUCAUAUACUUAAUAUUGUUCUAGUUUGAACUAUUAUGUUUCUUUAACUUGCAAAAGCCGGCUAUAAUGAUUAGUUCAUUCUUGCUUCUAGGUGUUGUUCUACAUGGGAUUUUAGAAAUUACUUUGAAGAAACUUUACAAUCUCAUAUAUGUAUAAAAAGUUAUCAUGUCAUUUCCAAACCAUCAUGGUCCCACCCAUUGAAAGCCUGUCACCUCCUAUUUUAAAUUGUUUUCCCUUACUUUCCUUUUUCUAUUUUUUUAUUUUGGCUUUGGUCAAGGGCAAGGAAUCUUCACAGUUUCUAGCUUGGUUGUAUAUUUGCUCAAAGCUUUAAUGCCCAAUUCAACAUGGUCCUUUUUUUUUUAGGUUGUGAUAUUCUUGAUAAAAAAAUGAAUGCAAAACUUGAUGAUGAUUAAGUGUUACUUUUAGCAAAGGAAGAAGAGAGUAAAGUGGAUGUACUUAUUGGAAAGAUGGUGUAAUCAUGUAAUAGAAAGGAAAAUUGUUUUCUUGUUUGCUUUUUGUCAGUUAAGCUUUUUAGAUAAAUUAAGCUAAUAUGUAAUUAUGUACUUUAUUUUGCUUUGAAAAAUUAUUAUCUUAUGAUAAAUGUUUGUUAUAAUUUAGAUAUUUCUAUAAGUAAUUUUCAAACUUUUCUUCUUGUUAUAAAAUUAUUAUUUUCUAAUAAUACAAAUAUUUAGAUAUUAUUUGUAUUCUUUUCUCACGGACAAAAUAUUGGUUUAAUAUAAUUUUCCCUUUUAUAAUGAAUUUUAUGUCUUUUUUUUAUAGUUUAUUAAUAUUAAAAGCAUUUUUAUUUUUAUGUGGUGUAUUAUAAAAAAAUACUAUCAAAACCACUUUCAUUAUUCUCAUAAAAGCAUUAUAAACAAAAGCACUAUAGAUUAAAAGUACUUUUGUGAGAAUUACCAUCAAACGGGUGAUUAAGAAUAUGUUGGAUAGUAUUUUUACUCGAAGUAUUUUUAGUGAAAGUAUUCUCUUUGAAAGCAUUUUUAAGAGAAUCACACAUCAAAUAUCUCCUAAAAAAUACUACAAGUGAUUUUUUAAUACUAUAAGUGAUUUUUCAAAUUUUAGAAAUUGUUCCUAAACUUUUGCCAAACACCUUUCUUUUUUUUUUUUUUUAAAAAAAAAAAAGACUUUUAUGCUAAAAGUGUUUCCUAUAAUCACUAUCAAAUGAAUUUCAAAUGCCUUUCAAAACAAAAUUGUCAACUUUACCCAUGCUAGUAAACUAAAACUAACAAAUUCUUUGUUAAAUAGAUCUAAAUUUAAUCAAGUGUUCUAACUUCAAUCCAACCCGAUUUGAUCAUAUGCACAAUCUACCAAUUUGUACCAACCUGAUCAAAUUUGAAUAUAUAAAUGUAAUAAAAUGAAAUCCAAUUUCAAUCCAAGUUCAGAAAAAUGGAUAGAAUUGGGGUUUUAUUGGACAACUUAGGUUGAGAACAGGGCCUCACUCAAAUGCGUAUCAAGUUAGAUUGAACUCGGUUGAUUCUUGAAGUGGCAAGAGAAAUGAAAAGACAAAGAUUAAAAAACAAUAAGUCUUUCUUAAAACAGCCAGUGAAUGUGGUCAUUCAAUUUGGAAAUCUUCGGCCAAACAUCCAGUAAACAAACAUUUAUCCAUACUUUCACCAAGACUUAUGGCAACAAAUUAAAAUGCUGAAUCCUUUGUGAAGAAAAAUCCUUGGUUAGCAUUUGGACUCCCCAAGGAAAUGAAGAACAUGGAAGCCACAGUUGUAAUAGCAGCAGCUACAGUUGUAAUAUCAGUUUGAUGUGAUGAUUUUUCAAACAUUUUGUAAUAAUUGAUGAAAACAGCCGCUACUGUAAAUUUCAGCAGAAACUCGGAUUAAUCAUGACAGGGAAACCAUUAAAUUUCCAUAAUAUAUUCAGAAAUUCCCUGAGAAUUCCUCCAAAGUUCCUGCACUGAAGGAUUAGGGAGCUCAGAUUCAUGAGAAAAUUCAAAAAAGUCGUUAGAGGCUUUAUAUCUGGGCAUCCAUAGUCUAAAUUAAGGAAAGAUCUCCAUAAAAACAACCACAAAAUAUAAACUCUACCAACUCGGUUUUGUCGUCCCA
rnacentral:lncRNA from 1 species